rnacentral:lncRNA from 1 species
CUCUGCAUUCAAAAUAACCAAGUAUAUAUGAGUAAGGGAUUUUGCAAUUUAAUAAAUUUGUAAAUUUUAAACUGUGGUAAAAGUCCAUUAUGCAUUUUAUUAAAGAGCUGAAUUCCUUAUUCGAAACCCAAUAUGUGUAUAACAAACAGAAGCUUGAGUAACGGACAUCAUUUAGAAGUAAUAUACUUACAUUGUUCCCACAACUUGUUCUGUAUUCGCUUCAAGACUCUCUUUUGCAAAAAUCCUAGCCAUACCAAAAUCUGAAAUUUUAGGUUUCAUAUCUUCACUUAACAAAACAUUACUGGCUUUCAAGUCUCGAUGGAUAAUAGUCAGUCUUGAGUAUUCUUGGAGGUAUAAAAGUCCUUGAGUUAUCCCUUCAAUGAUGUGAGCACGUUUUUUCCAAUCCAAAAUAAACCUUCUGAUGGGAUCUACAACAAAUAUAUAGUUUUGGACAAUAAAUGAUAUGCAAAUAAAUUAUAUACACGAUUACUAUUAACUUGAUUCCAGAACAAACCAAAAAGGUAGCAAUCCAAGCUUUUGUUUGGCAUGUACUCGUAGAUCAGCAUCCGUUCUUCAUUGUCAAUGCAAAAACCUAAAACUCUGAUAAGAUUUACAUGUUGGAGUUUUGCAGUAAGCAUAACCUCAUUCUUGAACUCCUCAAAUCCCUGUGUCGAUGUUUUUGAGAGUUUCUUCACUGCUAUCACCUCUCCACAGGGUAACACACCCUGCAACGCAAAAAAAAUCACGUUCAUAUAAAGCUUUCACUAAUUAGAUAAGCUGGGAAAUGUUAGUCAAACAAUAUGUUACCCUCCAAAGUUGAGGGCACCAUUUUAAGUUCUUUAAGUCCCCAUGGACGCAAAAUGUUAAGCUCCUCUUACGGAAUAUGGAUAUGGGUAGAGAUAUCUUCCUAAUAGGCGUAGAUUUUUAAAUUUUAUGUUUUGGGCCUCUGAAUUUUACUACGAGUGUAUAAAUUCAAACUUCCGAUAGGAUCCAAAUUGUAGCAUUGUGGAUUGUAACAAAUUACUAUGUAUGUACACACACACACAUAUAUAUUACCUUGUAAACAGGACCAUAUCCACCCUCCCCAAGCUUAUUUCUAACUGAAAAUCUCUCGGUGGCCGCCUCAAUAUCAGCCAAACUAUAUACUCUGAGGUUAGGAACAUUUCUGUUAAAGUCUCCAGCUUCUGCUUCGUCAUUUGCUCUCGUGUUUGAUGCUUUAGGAGAGUCCUCUGUUCCUAACAUCAACCAAGAGUAAAUAUUAGAUAAUUAAUUAAAUGUCAGUCUUAGUUACAUGUAUAUGAAUGAAAUACAUUCUUAAUUAUAAUUGAUAGCUGAAACUUGUCACCUUCAAUUAACUUGAGCCUUUUCAUCCUGUUGUAUUUAUAUGCACAAAAGCCUAGAAGGAGUGUCAAAGCUGCCGCUGCGGUCAAAAUGAGCGCCGAGGAUAGACGCCGCUUAUUACUAUGUUCAUCUUUUUCAGCUGAAGCAGAAGUAAUCCUGUCUUUUUGUGCUGGAAAUAUGUAUAGUUCACCAAUUAAUAAUAACUAGCUAGAGAUACCAUAACAAUCAUUAUUAAUCAGAGAGAACAAUUAUUGCAUAGAUAAAUACCUGCAGCCUGAGAAAGCACCCAAUUAUGAUCAUCAUAAUCAACUCGCCACACAUAGUAACCAAGCAAUCUCUUCUCUUUGGUAUAGGCAAUCUUAGCUCUAACAGCCUCCACAUCAUCAAAGCCAAACCAAAUCUUCCCAAUCGAGCAGUAAUUCACCACAUAAGUUGAAUUGUACAUAACUUGAACAUUAGGACCAUAGGUCUUGAUGCGAUUCUUGAUUUCCUUAUAAGUCACAACGCCGUUAUCAUGCAAAGCUGGUCCUGUUGCUGCUGCACCAAUACCAUUGUCCUCUGGUUUCACAAGCGUCCAUGCAUAGCCAUAGAAAGGCAAAGACAUAACCAACUUAUCUGCCGAUAACCCUCUCUGUAUCCAUGCCUUUAAAACCUGAUCGGUACUUUUAGCAAAGCCGCCGCUACUUGAGCCAUGGAGAGCCGCAGGUGGCGCAGUGAAGUUUGUUGACAAAGGCUUGUAGUAGUUAGCAGUAACUGCAUGAACCCAAUUCAAGUUUCGUUGCAUCGAAUUCAAAAGAUAUGAAUUCGCUGGUGGUGAAUAACGAAAUCUUGCGGUCAAAAUCAGCGGGGAUUGCUGGCGACUAGAGUUUUUUGCCUCUAAUUUUGUAGCAGCAAUUCGCCACUCGUCAAAAAGUAAACCAAUAUUGAACAUAUCGGUGCUUGUGUUAGGAGCUGUCCAAGCAAAGUCUAGGCCCUGAAAGCCAUAAAGCCUAGCCAUUCUUAUUGAAGAGUCGAUGAAAGAUUCUCUGUGAGAAGAAUUUCUCACCAUUGAAGAAUAAAUAGAAUAGUUUGUAUCCAUUCCUUGUCCAAUGGAGAGAAGUAUAGUGAUUGAUGGGUUCUUUUUUUUCACAGUGUCUGCGAAUUUGGCGAUUUGAUUUUCAUCGGACGGUAAUGAUAAAGAUAGCUGGUAAGUGGUGGAAUUGAUAUCAGCAGAAGAGCAAAUAAGGUGAGUGAAGAGAUCAUAAUUUAUGCCCGAAAUGGUGGACACUUCGCUUAGAUUCAAGUAACCGACCCUAAUCCACGGUUUUGCUUUCGCGGGAUGAAGUUCUGAAUAGAGCAACGCGUGGAAGAUGAUGCUGAUAAUUAUGGAUGCCAUUUGAGACUUUGUUAGGAAUGGAAAUGGAUCCACAGGAGAGAAAUUAAAUAAACACUAGUUUCACAGUUCAUUUGAGUUCUUAUGUAAACUAUUAACGCAUAGGUUCAUUUCGUUCCAAAAAAAUCUUAUGUGCUCCUGAUAGGGACACAUACAUUGCAUGUUAAGAUGAUGAUAGGCUGAGAACUAAGAUUUUCUUCCAUCGCUUGGGUGACCUUUCAUGAAGAAAAAUGAUGUUUUGAUUUGCAUUUGGUUAAACUGAUGACAUAUUUCGGGCAAUAAAUAUCAGUAUUGUUUUAUUAAAUAAUAAAAAAAUUAAUUUUACAUGUACGUUGAAAGUUAAUAACUUAAUAUUGCAGUCUUUUGAGCCUGUGUUGACGUUUAUUCGGGUGUAUUCGUUUAUUAUAUAUUCCCGUUUUUCUCCCCGUGUCUGUUUUGCUACAGUGCUCUUAAAAGGAUAACAUCUUUAAUACACCUCAGAAGUAGUUAAGAAAGUCUUGAUAAAAAACCAGACAUUUUCUUUAUACUCAAAAAGUAGUUAUUGGACUAAUUAAGAUUCUAAUCCCUUUAAGAAAUAUUCAAAAGGGGUUAUUGUCACUACUUUAGUCCUUGUUGUUUUAUUUCAAAAGUUAUUUCACACUAGUGUUUAAUAUAAGAUACAAUACUACCAAAAUUCUACUCAAUAGUUUAUUUAAAAUAGUAUUGACUAUUAAAAAUAAGAAUUUACACUAAUAUUAAAUUCAACAAUUAGUAACAUUAUUUAAAAUAAUUAUAGUAUUUAAAUGGUUAUUUAUCUUUAUUAAAUAAGAUUUAACAUAAUCCUCUGCGACAUUUUACUAAAUAAGUACAGUUUUAUAUAUAAUUCAAUCUAAUCGUAAAAAAUAAUUUAUUCCAAUCCUACCUUCCAAACAUAGACAUAGUAGACAAUGAGAGCAUGAGUUAAGAGAUUAUAAAUCAUGGACCAAGGGACUAAAGAUACGGACCUUGAGAUCAUAUAUCGUGGACUAUUAGAGACUAAUGACCGUGGACAAAUCUUAGUACAUAAAAAAGGGAAUUUUAGUCAAAUGUAGUUUGAUAUUAAGGAAUUCAGCAAGCAAGCUACAAGAAUAUCCAAAAGCGUGUAAUUUAUGUUUAAGGAAAUAAGUGGAGAUAGAGAUGAAAUUGCAAAUUCAUCCCAAUCUUAAGUGGUUUAAUUCAAGAUGUAUGUUACCUACAAGCACAGUAAGCACGGUGAUGUCUCUCUUUAACACAGGGGACACAACAAAAACACUGUUAUUUUCUACCCUUUUAAAAAAUUCCAAUAAUAUGUACACGUUAUACAUACAUGCAUCACAUACGUGCGUCGAUCAUCGAUGUAAAACUAACAGCAAAUUUCUAGUAAAACAAACAUCAUUACUUUUAGUAGAAGAUAUAAAAAAUAUCAAUUAGUAACCAUUAGAAAAUAAAAAUUUAUGUAAUUGAUGCAGAUAAAUGGAAUCAAGUAGUAACAUUUCCUUCUCUUUGAAGAGAAAAGAUUAAAAACAAAAAGGGGGGCGGAGCGCAAACAUGACAAUUUUUUUUAUCCGCACAUGCCAUGAUAAUCGAUAAUCCGAUAUACCAACCGCGUCUAAUUGUCUGAAUUCUCCAGCUUAUCAAGCUUGCUCAAUUGCACCGACAGACACUGACCAUGGGAGAUUAAUCACCACUCGCAGUAUUAGAUGCGUGAAGGACACAUUCGCCAAUAAUUUAUAGCGGACAGUAGCAUUCCCCAUGCCGCACGGAGAAAAAUAGUUGGAUUUGCGUAAGUUAAAUUGACUUGACUCGAAUGGUGGUGGUUGCUGUUAAGCGGUCAGUACUUCUGGCGACUGCUUGGCUUACACGCAGUUCUUGGGGGUGUCAUUUGACUGUGAAAAAGAAUUUUGGCUUUAUUGAUAUCAUGUUGGCUUUGGAAUUUUGGAUGGCUUCGUUUGGACCAUAAGACACGAUAUCGUUCAUAACACGUUAGCAGUCCUUCUCACGGGAGAAAAACUGGGGUGGGGGCAGAUGUACCGUAUCAACUGCCGUUUAGCAAGUCCUGCUCUCGUAUGGAGUCACCACUUUGACCAGCACUUUAUCCCUUAUGGACCGAUCCGGUGCGAGCAGGGAUUGGUCUGGGUUGUGGUACGAGUUUAAAAGUGUCUCCCACAAUUGGGGUCCACUCAAGACCACCUCGUGGUUCAGACCACAAACAAAAUUGUCGUUUAGCAGAUCAUAUGAGUCCUCAAAGUGUCACUUACAAUUUUUUUUAUUAUAAAUGACUGUCAAAUAAUUAAUCAAAAUUUUAUUAUUUACGGUUAUAAUUAGAAUGAUAAAAGUUGUACAGUUACAUCCACAUAUAAGUUUAUCUUUAAAGGAUAGGGGCAAUGAAUAUAACCGUAUAAGUUAUAACCUCAUAUAAGUUUCUUUCUUCUUAUGGAUAUAACUGUAUAUGGGUGGCGUUAUAUAGUGCCCCACAGAGGCUCUUUAAAAUUAUUUUAUGUACAUUUUAAACAUUCCCUCUUUAUUGAUUUGAAACACCAAAAAUACCUCUCUUAAAUUUUAAAAAUAUAUAAAAUAAAAAAAAUUACAUGUUAAAACUAUGCUUGAUGUCUCUAGCCUAACAGUUAGCACACGUAUUGUACACUUUCACCUUUUUCUUCUCAAAUUUUUUACUCCUCUUUUCUCUAAUUCUUCACACUUCGCUACUAUCUCUAGAAGCUUAUUACUAAUUUUCUGAUCAAAUUACUUAUAUAAGUACUCUUAGUUGAUUAUCACUUCUUUAAUUUUUUUUGGAGAUUUCUCUUAAAUGAAAGAAUUAAGGUUAUGUUCUAGAAAAUUUUUAACUCCCAUAUUAUAGUUUUGAUAAUGAGAUUAUCCUUAAAUUUUCAACAUAUGAAAAUACUUCGAAACAACUAUAAAUGUGUUGAAUGAAAUAUUCUAAUAAAUUUAGAUUUUAGUACUUAUUAUUUAUUAAUUUUUUUUUAAAUUACAUUACUAAUUACUACUUGAGCUUAGCCCUUGUGACAUUAAAUUGCUGAUAGCGCCACUAAAUGUAAGUUUUAAACUCAUGUUCGAUUUCUCCCAUGUGUAAACUCUGCCUUUAAUUUAUUAUUUAGUGAUAUUACAUUGCAUUAAUUAAUACAAUACAAAUUGUUUACUAACAGAGCCUCAAGAGAGUAAUUUAUUAUUUAGUUGGCAAAUUAAACAACUGCAGCAGUCACUAGCAGCUGGCCAAGAGCUAGCAUAGAUCAAUUGUUCAUCUACCUACCACUUGUGAAAUUGUUACAUCAUUACUUGAACAUAUUUCCAAUCCAAUCGUGGUUUUGUUUUGUUCGUCUUCAAAAGCUUUGUUUGAGAAACUCGCAGGCUUCUUUGGAGUCAUUAUAUCAGCUGUAUUCUCAUUUUCGAGCAUCGAAGAAAUUUCCAGUAUAGAAGGUCUAUCGUUUGGGUUCUCCUGAACACAUAGCAAAGCUACUUGGAGACAUGUCAAUAAUUUCCACGAGGAAUUCGUUUCAUCUAGUGAUGGAUCCAUUAACUCCACGCCUUUCCCAUUCUUCCACAACUCGUAUGCCUGAAAACAUCAAAUAUGUUAUUGAGUUACAUUCAAUUGAUUAGCACUAUAAUGUUUUGAUUCAGUGUGUAUUAGAAAGGGGGUUAUGAAGAAACUUACAUACUCUACAAGGCUUAAAUUUUCAUUUUGACCAUAUCGAAUGAAAAGUCUUCUUCCACUUAUAAUUUGUAGAAUCAAAACUCCAAAACUGUAGACAUCAGAUUUAGUGGAGUAGACGCCUCUUCCAACAUAUUCAGGAGGAAUAUAGCCUCUGUAGUAUCGAGUAAUUACAAAUAUUACUAAAACUAUUUGACGUAAAAGAUUAAGUUGAUUGGUAAAGGUUCGACAAUAAUAUUAAAGACAAGUCGGAAAAAAAAAGACAAAUAUAUACUUACUGUGUUCCAACAAUUCGAUUUGUUUUUGCUUCAAGAUCAUCUUUCACAAAAAUUCUAGCCAAGCCAAAAUCAGAUAUUUUAGGUUUCAACUCUUCAUCCAACAAAAUAUUACUAACUUUUAAGUCUCGAUGAAUAAUUGUUAAUCUAGAAUAUUCUUGGAGAUAGAGAAGCCCCUGAAUAAUUCCUUGAAUGAUAUGAAUACGUUUUUUCCAAUCCAAAAUAAGCCUUCUGAUGGGAUCUGCAUCAAAUGUAAAUAUAGUUGGACGGUCAGUACCAUUAGCAUUUGGAGACGAGAAAUGCAAAUUGAGGCACAAAAAUUAGAAAUUAAGCAGUUAAGCACAUACCAAAAAGGAAAUAGUCUAAGCUUCGUUUUGGCAUAUACUCAUAGAUGAGCAUAUAUUCUUGUGUGUCAAUGCAAAAACCCAAAACUCUGAUCAGAUUUACGUGUUGAAGCUUUGCAGUAAGCAUAACCUCAUUCUUGAACUCCUCAAAUCCUUGUGUGGAUGUCUUCGAGAGUUUCUUCACUGCUAUUAUUUGUCCAUCAGAUAAUACACCCUGCAAACACGCCCCAAAAUGUUUUUUUUUAAAAGCACUAUGUUCACACACACACACACACACAAACACACGUAGCUUGCACUAAUUAAUUAAUAAGCUUAGAGAUAACCAAGCUACCGAUACAUAACCUUGUAAACAGGACCAUAUCCACCCUCCCCGAGCUUAUUUUCAAUUGAAAAUCUAUCCGUGGCCACCUCAAUAUCAGCCAAGCUAUAUUCUCUGAGAUCAGGAUCAUUGCUGUUAAAAUCUCCAGCAUCUGCUUGACUAUUUGCGCUGUCCUUUGAUGCUUUGGCUGAGUCAAUUACGGUCCAAUUAAUAUCAACCAAGAGAAAGAAAGCUAAUUUAAGUAAAUUGCCCACUUCUUCAUCUGUGUUAAAUGGAAUAGAAGUAAAAAUAUUCCUAAUCCCGUGCAGAAGAAGUUACCUUCUAAUUUGAGGUUUUUCAUCCAGCAGUAGUAAUACAGCAAAAAGCCUAUUAGAAGAAUACAAGCUGUAGUUAUAGGCAAAACAAUUGCCCAUAAUAGCCGCUUAUUUUGUCGAUUCCUUUUAUCCUCUUCAGCUGAAAAGUCAAAUCACUUUGUGUUAUUUAACCACUGAUGGUCAAAUAAAGAUCUUAAUUGAAGUCAUUAUGCAGAGAAGUGAUCGAAUGGGUAGCAGGCAGUGAGUGAGGCUUUGCAUUUGCUUACCUGCAGCUUGAGAAAGCAUCCAAUAAUGAUCACUGGAAACUUCCCACACAUAGUAACCACGUAGCUUCUUCUCCUUGGCAUAUGCAACCUUCACUCUAACGGCCUCGACAUCAUCAAAACCAAACCAAAUCUUCCCAAUCGAGCAGUAAUUCACGACAUAAGUUGAAUUGUACAUUACUUGAACAUUAGGACCAUAGUUCUUGAUGUGAUUCUUGACUUCCUUAUAAGUCACAAGGCCAUCAUCAUGCAAAGCUGGUCCUGUUGCUGCUGCGCCAAUGCCAUUGUCCUCAGGUUUCACAAGCGUCCAUGCAUAGCCAUAGAAAGGCAAACAUAAAACCAAUUUAUCAGCCGAUAACCCUUCCUCAAUCCAUUCCGUGAUUCCAUAUUCAGUAUUAGAGACACUAUUUGGAUCAUACAGAGCCGCAUGAGCACCAGUAAAAUUUUGCCACGUAGGGCUUGAGUAUUCGGUAGUGAUAACAUGAACCCAAUUCAAGUACUGUCUUAUCGAGUCGACUGGAUAAGCUGCUGCUGUUGAGAGUGGUGAAUAUGCGACCUUUGCUGUCAAAAUCAACUGUGAUUGGCUCGAGUUAUUUCUUGCUUCUAAAGCAACGGCAGCUCGCCAUUCUUUAAAGAGAAUGCCAAUAUUGUACUUAUCCCGGCUUGUGUUUGCCUGAUUCCAAGACAGAUCUAAGCCUUGAAAGCCAUAAAGCCUUGCUAUUUUUAUUGAGGAGUCAAUAAAGUAUUUCCUGAAAGAAGGAUUGCCCGCCAUGGAAGAAUAACUUGAAUAGUUUGGAUUAUUGCCUCCUCCGAUGGAAAGAAGAGUAGUGAUUGAUGGGUUCUUUAUUUUGACAGUGUCUGUGAAGUUGGAGAAUUGUUUUUCAUCAGAAGGUGAUAAAGAAAGCUCAUAGGAAGUUGAGUUGACAUCAGCAAAACCACACAUAAGGUGAGUGAAAAGAGCAGAAUUUACAUCUGAAACGGGGAACCCAUCGUCUGAAUCCCAGUAACCAGCUCUGAUUAAAGUUUGUGCCCUUGCAGGAAGCGAUUCUGAAAAUAUAAAAAUGUAGAGGACAAGAAUGAUAAUUUUGGAUGCCAUUGUGGGAACCUUGAUGCUUUGAGGCAAACCUAGUAUGUGAUUACAUAUAUAUGUACAGACACAAAAUGUAAUGGAGAAAAUAUCCGACACCGAUUGAGAUUUGUUAUUGGACUAUAAUACAAACUUGAGGCAACUUUCAACUCAUGAGCUUAGCUCAUAAGUCUUUAUACGAUAUCAAAGUCAAGUUUCGAAAGAGUGACUCUAUACUACCUUUCAAUUUAACAAAGAGAAAGAAAAGAGAUCAACCUACACGUGGUAGGAAGAUAGAAAAAGUAUAUCACAUUGGCUAAGAUUAAUUACUAGGUUGAUAAUAUAAGCUCAAAACAACACUCAGGUCCAUAACAAGCUGUAAUUUAAUAAAGUUAGGUCAACUCGAUAUUUUAUAUAGUACGUCAUGAGUGAGGAGGAGUUUAAGCUGCAAAUCGCAGUCAUGAGUGAGAACAAAUUUGAUUUUCUCAAGAUUUUGCGUUUUGUACACGUUGAUCAUGGACUGAAUCAAGUUAGAAAAUAUUUUCACAAGAUUUUCCCUUCAAAUUGCAUGGAUGGAACCAUAGAGGAAUACAUCGAAAAGUUUGUCUUCUUGUCAUGAUGUUAAGUGAUAAGAUUGAAGCUCUUAAAUUAAGCUAUGACGUUUUACCUCCACUUAGCUUGACUUCUGAAGCUGAAGACUCAUGCUUUUGCAUUGACUUUGUUGGUAUUUAAAUGACCUCGGAGUCUUGGACGUGUUUCUGAAGCAAUGCCAUGGUCUAUGAGUACAUUUUUUUUUUUGGGUAAAAAAGGGAAAGUCUGUCGUUAGGAAAACAUCCUGACAACGGGAUGGUGAGGGGGGAAAAAAACAAAUUAUACACUUAAUUAUUUCCUCAUGAUAAGAUUCAGUAGUAUUGUAAUUUUAAUAAAAAAUUAAGACCCUUUUGCCCUUUUUCUUGUGUAAUUUAAUUUUCAAACAAGACCACCCUCCAAUUUUAGUAUAAAAGCCUAUACGAAUGUCCGUUCACUUUGACUCAAUGUUUACAUAAAAACAAAUGGCGCGCAGACGAUUUGUCGAUCUAGUACCACUCUCGUAUACUUGGUGAGAUUCAGCUUCACCAAAUUUGUAGCCUAUAUUUUACUUUAAUGAGAAAAUCAAAUAUUGUUUGAACAAAUAAUUUUCUUUUUUCUAUAUACUUUCUUAAAAUGUAUGGAGUGGGUAAAGUACAAAUUGAAUUUUUAGCCCUUUGACUCCUCCAAAAUUCGAACUCAAUUUAAUGUCAAUUAAAAUAAUGCUACUUGAAAAUCAUUCAACCAAAUAUCGUAAAAACUAUAAUUUUACGAAGUGAAAGUUUCACUGAUUAUUGAAUUAUAGAACGUGCUAUCAUUUCCUAGUUAGAAUUUGUUUAAUUCUAUUAAUUUACAAUCAUUCUUUAUUUUAUUUAAUUAAUUAAAGUGAAUUUGUUUUGUAUAAGUUCUAUAUAUGUAAAAUUUUAAAAUUCAGUGUUGAACUUAAUUGUACUAAACCUUUUAUAAUUUUUUAUCACACCUGCAUGUUUAACAGUCUAGUAUUAAUAUUGAUAGCACAUAAUAUAUAGGAUUAAGAGACAUUGAUUUCGGGUGCUACAAGAUUUUUAGGAUUGCAUGCACAAGGGCUUAAAAACAAAGUGAGGAUUUAAUUACACCAAACGAGGGUGCGUUUUUAUGAUAAAAUAUAAACUACGUGCAGGGUUGUAAAAGUGGCUCCAUAAUCAGUGUACAUUGACAUUCAUCUAGCUACCACCUCCGAAAAUGAUACAUCAUUAGCCGAGCAUUUUUCCAAUUGUGUUGUAGAUAAUAGUUCAAUCCCAAUUUCAUCAACUGGUUUUGAGAAAGCAGGCUUCUUGGGAGUAUUUGUAUUUGUGGUUUCAUUCUUGAGCAUUGAGGAAACUUGUAACAUUGAAGGUCUAUCGUUUGGAUUCUCCUGGACACACAACAAAGCUAUUUCCAGACAUCUCAUUAAUUUAUAAGGAGAAUUUGUAUCAUCUAGUGAUGAAUCGACAAACUCCACGCCUUUGCCACCUUUCCACAACUCAUAAUCCUGAAAUUAUCAAGUACCAUUUUGUUACAUAAUUUAUACUUCUUAAUUAAGUGCGCAUAUGUGUACUCAGGGUUACUAUAGCCAAAGAAACUUACGUGCUCUAGAAUGCUUAAAUUUUCAUUGAUGCCACAUAACAUUGAAAGCCUCUUUCCACUUAUGAUUUGUAGAAGUAAGACUCCGAAACUUAAAACGUCUGAUUUGGUAGAGUAUACACCUUUACUGGCGUAUUCAGGAGGAAUAUAGCCUCUGCAUUCAAAAUAACCAAAAAUAAGUACGUAUAUAUAAGUAAGGGAUUUUGCAAUUUAAUAAAUUUGUAAUUACAUUGUGAUAAAAGUCUAUCCUGAAUUUUAUUAAAGAGCUGGAUUCCUUAUUCGAAACUCACUAUAUAUAUAUAUAUGUGUGUGUGUGUGUGUAUGCAUGCAUGUAUGUAUGUAUGUAUGUAUGUAUGUAUGAAUGAUAUGUAUACGCGCACACAUGUAUGUACACAUAAGUACAUCGAGUAAACACAUCAUAUAUAUAUAUUAAAAUUCUGUAUUAGCUUGGUCCUCAUAUACAUACAAACAUAUAACAAUCAGAAGCUUGAGUAAAGGAUAUCAUUUAGAUGUAAUAUACUUACAUUGUUCCCACAACUUGUUCUGUAUUCGCUUCGAGACUCUCUUUUGCAAAAAUCCUAACCAUACCAAAAUCUGAAAUUUUAGGUUUCAUAUCUUCACCUAACAAAACAUUACUGGCUUUCAAGUCUCGAUGAAUAAAAGUUAGUCUUGAGUAUUCUUAGAGGUAUAGAAGCCCUUGAGUUAUCUCUUCAAUGAUACGAACACGUUUUUUCCAAUCCAAAAUAAGUCUUUUGAUGGGAUCUACAACAAAUAUAUAGUUUUGGACAAUAAGUGAUAUGCAAAUGAAUUACAUACACGAUUAAUAUUAACUUGAUUCCAGAACAAACCAAAAAGGUAGCAAUCCAAGCUUUUGUUUGCAUGUACUCGUAGACCAGCAUCCGUUCCUCACUGUCAAUGCAAAAACUAAAACUCUAAUAAGAUUUAAAUGUUAUUCAAUUGAUUAGAACACCGAUUGAAAAGAAGUUCCUUCUAAUCAAUUGAAAACCUAAAUUCUAAUAAGAACUGAUAAAAAAAUCAAUUCGAUGUUAUUCUUUGUGGCUCUGCUUAGAAUACUGAAAAAUCAAGUCGACUUACUUAUUUUUAUAUUGAUCGUUACAAGUCUCUUGAAUUUUUUACCUACUUCAUUAACUUGUUAUUUUGAGUUGUAUCUAACAUGGCUUCACUCUUUUUUUUCUUUACUUUGGCUUGGUUUUCUUUACAACUUGAAAGGAAUUUAGAUCUAUUACAAAUAGAUGUAGGCAAUUAAAAACAAAAAAUUAAUUACUUAAUUAAUUUUCCGGAAGUACUCUUCACUGUUACUGUUCACUAAAAAAUAUUAAUUUUCCAAAAACACAAUAAAAUGCAGAAAAUUAAUGACACAAAAUUUUUUACAUGGUUUGGAUUAAUGAAUCCUACAUCCACGAGGCCACGCCCAGAUGAAAAAAAAAUUCACUAAGUUGAGAUGUUACAACCUAUGGAUUUACCAAACUUAAGACACUCACUUACAGUUUAUCACCAUACAGUUUACUCAACCUUAGACUGAAUUUGCUUCUCUUGAAUAAUCGCUACCCCUCUUGAUUCACGAUCCUCAAGGUACUUCGCAAAGUGAUCAAUAGCAAUUCUUCAAUGUCUAGUGAUCCAAGAUCCACAUAAACUCUCCACAGAGAUGAAAAGAAAAUAAGAAAACAAAUCAACACAACAUGAUGCGCCAAAUCGGGAUUCUCUAGGGAGAAGGCCGAAUUUUGCUUCUCUGCUUUAUGCUCUGUGUUGUGCGAUCAAACUUCAAUUGUGAAAUACAUCUCUUUAUAUAGGCACUAAAAUUUCACCAAAAUAGUAAGUCUUAAAAGACUUGGAUUCUUUUCAAAUAAGAGUUUAUUUCCUCUUAUAAUUCCCAUGAUUCUGAAUAGCAUUAAAUCUGAUUUUUUUGCCUUACUUGUCUCCUAAGAAAUUUUUAGAGCAUUUAAUGACUUCCUGUUUGAACCAACUUCUUGCUCUAAAUAGAUCUCAUGCGCCAAUUAUAGAAUCCCACCAUUAAUUGACUUGCUAAAAUAGACAUCUAAUAAAAUUAGGAGCCAAAAAUUCUUAAUAAAUUGCAAUCUCACUAAAUUAGGGAAUUAAUAAAUUAAUCCCUAUUACAAGAUAUGCAAUAAAUAAACUUCCAAUUUAACUAGACUUGGCAUAAAAUGCCAACUCUAUAAAUAAUGGACUUAACACAACUCAUAAAAAAUUUCUUGUUAAGACUGUAUGAACCAAUUGAACUUCAGAUUCAUACUAGAACUACGAUGAUUCAAUAAGACCUUCAAAUUAAAUCCACAGAUUCCAUGAGUGAGAACCCUUGGAUUACAUUUGUUCAAGUUUAUGCUUUGAGUAAAAUAAAAGUAGAAAUAGGAAUUUGAAAGAAGAAAUUUAGUUAUAAAAAAUUGUCAAAUAAUUAAUUGUUUGGCAUUUAUUUUAUUGGUCCCAACCCAUGUGAUCCACCAAAUGAGACGUUUUAUGUGAUUGUUUGUGCCAUGGUGCACUAGCCUCAUAUAUGUUUGUUUUUUCUUAUGGAUAUAACUGUAUAUGAGUAGCGUUAUGUAGUGCCCCAUAGGGGCUCUUUAAAAUUAUUUUAUGUGCAUUUUAAACAUUCCCUCGUUGUUGAUUUGAAACACCAAAAAUAUCUCUCUUAAAUUUUAAAAAUAUAUAAAAAAAUUAUGAGUUAAAAGAAUGUUGUAUAUCUCUAACCUAACAUAUAGCACACGUAUUGUACACUUUUGCUUUUUUCUUCUCUAAACUUUCACUCCUCUUUUCUUUGAUUCUUCACACUUCACUGAUAUCUCUGAAAAAAUUAAACUGUCUCUAGAAGCUUAUUACUAAUUUUCUCAUCUAAUUAUUUAUAUAAGUACUCUUGAUUGAUUAUCACUUCUUUAUUUUUAUUUUUUUGGGGGGAUUUCUCUUAGAUGAAAGAAUUAAGGUUAUGUUCUAAGAAAUUUUUAACUCCCAUGUUAUAGUUUUGAUAAUGAGAUUAUCCUUGAAUUUUCAACAUAUAAAAGUACUUCGAAACAACUAUUAAUUCGUUGAAUGAAAUAUCCUAAUGAAUUUAAAUUUUGGUACUUAUUUUUUAUUGAACUUUUUCUUUUAAAUUACAUUACUAUUUGAACUUUGUCCUUGUGACAUUAAAUUCUUGAUAGCGCCACUAAAUGUAAGUUUUAAACUCAUGUUUUAAAUUACGUAUCCAAGCUUUCAAUGUGAUCUAAAGAUCUCAUAGCUUCAUUCGAAAUUAAUAAAUGAUCUCUAAGUGUUACGAAAAUGAUAUCAAUGAAAUUACAAACUCUUAAGAGUUUAUAGAACAUUAAUUGAUCCAAGUCCAAUACAAACUGCUUACUAGUACAGCCUCAAGAUCUCCAUUUAUUUUUCAGUAGGCAAAUUAAGCAACUGCAGCAGUCACUAGCAGCUUGCCAAGAGCUAGCAUAGAUCAAUUGUUCAUCUACCAACCAGUUGUGAAAUUUUUGCAUCAUUACUUGAACAUAUUUCUAAUCCAAUCGUGGCUUUAUUUUGUUCAUCUUCAUGAGCUUUCUUCGAGAAAGUUUCAAGCUUCUUUGGAGUCAUUAUCUCGGCUGUGUUCUCGUUUUCGAGCAUCGAAUAAACUUCCAGCAUAGAAGGUCUAUCGUUUGGGUUCUCCUGAACACAUAACAAAGCUAUUUGCAGACACGUCAAUAAUUUCCAUGAGGAAUGCGUAAUCAUCUAGUGAUGGAUCCAUUAACUUCAUGCCUUUCUCAUCCUUCCACAACUUGUAGGACUGAAAACAUGAAAUAUGUUUUUGAGUUACAUUCAAUUAAAUAGCACUAUAAAGUUUUGAUCAAUUGUGCAUUUUAAAGGGGGUUAUGCAGAAACUUACAUAGUGUACAAGGUCUAAAUUUUCAUUAUGACCAUAUUAAAUAAAAAAUCUCCUUCCAUUUAUAAUUUGCAAAAGUAAAAUCUCAAAACUGUAGACAUCAGAUUUAGUAGAGUAGAUGCCUCUUCUACAUACCCAGGAGGGAUGUAGCCGUUGUGGUACUGAGUAAUUACAAACAUCACCGAAAUUGUUUGACCUAAAAGAUUAAGUUGAUUGGUAAAGGUUUAACAAUAAUAUUAAAGACAAGUCGAAGAAAAUAGACAUAUAUAUACUUACUGUGUUUCAACAAUUCGAUUUGUAUUUGCUUCAAGAUCAUCUUUCACAAAAAUUCUAGCCAAGCCAAUAGAUGAUAUUUUAGGUUUCAAAUCUUCAUCCAACAAAAUGUUACUAGCUUUCAAGUCUUGAUGAAUAACUAUUCAUCUAGAAUAUUCUUGAAGAUAGAGAAGCCCUUGAGUAAUUCCUUGAAUGAUAUGAAUGCGUUUUUUCCAAUCCAAAAUAAACCUUCGGAUGGGAUCUACAUAAAAUAUAAGUAUAGUUGGACGGUCUGUAGCAUUAGCAUUUGGAGAUGAGAAAUGCAAAUAAAGGAUUUCGUAGAUGAAGAAUUUCUCGCUGGAAGAAUAAGUUGAAUAAUCUGCAUUUCCUCCACCGAUGGAAAGAAGGGUAGUGAUUGUUGGGUUUUUUGUUUUCACAGUGUGGUUAGAGAAUUGUUCUUUCAUCAUAAGGUGACAAAGAAAGCUUGUAGGACAUUGGAUCGACAUAAGCAAAACCACAAAUGAGGUGAGUGAAGAGAGCACAUAAUUUAUAUCUAAAAUGGGGAAGCCAGGCCUGGUUCCCAAUAACUAGCUCUGAUUAAAGUUUGUGCUUUUGCAGGAAGCGAUUAUGAAAAUAUAAAAAUCUGGAGGACAAGAAUGACAAAUUUGGAUGCCAUUUUGGAAAGCCAGCUGCUUGAAACAUGCCUAGUCUGUAUGUGUUUUUAUACACACACAUAAUGUAGCAGAGAAAUUAUCCUACAUUAACCGAGAUUAGUUAUGGGUCUAAAUAAUAUAUGUUUUAAGCAACCCUCAACCCAUGAGUUAAGUUCGGAAGUUUAUAAACAGUAUUAGAGUCAGAGUUAGGUUAUAUAUGGACAAAUGCGCUUAUAUUACCAAACUAAAAGAUCAGCGUGCAUUUGAUGGAAUGAUAGGAAAAAUAUCCCACCUUAGUAGUUAAGAUUAGUUACUAAGUUAACAAUAUAAGAUUAAAGCAAUCUUCAACUCAUAUAACGCAAGAGUAUGAAUCAAAAUUUAAUAAAACUUGGUCAAUUCGAUAUUUUAUAAAGAUAUACGAGCUACAACUCGAGGUCGCUCAUGAGUGGGGACGAGUUAGAUUAAGGCAAUCUUCAACUCAUAUAACGUUGAUCAUGGACCGAAUCAACAUAGGAAACAAAAGUCGAGGAAGUUGAAUCUUCUGGCCUUCAACAUUGAAAAGGUUGUCUUCAUUCAAUGACGAUCGUCUUGAAGUUCUUAAAUUAAGCUACGACGUUUGCCUCCACUUAGCUUGACUUCUGAAGCUGGAGACUCUUCCUUUUGUAUUGGCUUCGUUUGUACUUAAAUUACCUCGGAGUCUUGGAUGUGUUUCUGAAGCCAUGUCAUUGUCUACGAGUAGAAAUUUUUUUUUUUUUUUUGGGGGAAGAAAGAGGAAGUCUGUCGUUACUUGUUAGGAAAACAUCAUGACAAGAGAAUAGUGAAGAAAAAAAGAGAAGAAAAGAAUAGGAAAAACCAAACUGACAAACACUUAGUUAUCGACCCCUAUGCCACUGGCCUGUAGAACACACUCCCUCAGAAGUGAUUUUAAGUUCUUGUAAUUUUCUGUAUAAUAUGAGAGCAUUUUCCUGUUUAAAGCAGGGGCAGUAACAGUGUCACAAUAGAAAGCCUCCUGAUGGUAAGAUUAACUAGUAUUGUGAUUUUAAUUGGGGGUAAAAAAGUCCCAUACGCUUAUUUCCUUAUAUGAUUUAGUUUCAAGUCAAGACGACCCUCUUCAUUUUAGUAUAAAAGUCUAUACAAAUGUACUUUUUACUCAAUGUUUACGUAGAAACCGUUGGUGGUUCAAUUGUGGGGAAUGGCAAAUGUAAAGAAAUACAACAAUAAUGAUGGAACUUUAUUACAUAAAGUAAUGUGUUUACAACUAACUCUAUAUGUAGAAGAAAAAUAAUAGUAAUAAGUAAACUGCAGAAAAUUUGUGUGCUUCAAGGCACGUUACAAAUGUCGCUUUUCUUAGGACGUUAUUUGCCCCACCAAUUAAGUGAUGCACAUGGGUUAAGCAAAUACGCCUCCAGGAUACAAUAAAGCACUUGUUUGUUUGCUUGCGUUGUGCAUAGACGAAAGCAAACCAGAAUACUCUUGAAUGUUGCAAGUCUGCCAAGAAACAAUAUAUUGUUCCUGCAGAAAACAAUAUAUUAGAUUUUUAAUGCACAAAAGAAAUUGGUAUUUUGUGUUGAAAUUCGUACUAGAAAGGAAUGAUAAGAAAAGAGUGGUGUAUGAUCAUUAAUUUCAUGUCUAAAUGGCUUAAACAUGACCCCUAUUUAUAGAUAUACUUGUGCCCCCUCAUUUGGGUUGUCAUCUUUCAUGAUACCCCUUCAUUCAUGGCCAUUGGAUCUAGAUUUGAUUUUAAUCAAUCGUCCAAAUUGAACCAUCACCAUUUCAAAUGAAAUGUCACUAUGAAAUGAUGCAUCUCUAAGUGAAAUGUUGCCAUGAAAAGUUAUAUCAUUUAGUAAAAAGAUACAUUUUCUAUAAGACACAAUUAAAUGGACAUGUCCUUACAACAAGACAUCAUUUAAUUACACGUCUUUAGUGAAAUGUACAUUUUCUAUAAGGCACAAUUAAUAGGACAUAUCUUUACCAUAAGACACCAUUUAUUUCAUUUAUUGUUAAAAAUUUUCCAACAAUCCCCCACCAUUUUCAAAAUAAAUGAAUUUUGAAAAAUUAUCUUGCGCAGGCUUGGAAAACUUAUGCAUAGAUGAAUGUGUCUUUUGGACUUGAACCUUCACUUAGUGACAAUACAUCAAAGUUAAUCAAGGUGGCAUGGUAGGCAAGCUUUGAACCAACGACCUUAAUUGACUAACCGGAUAUAUCUCACACAUAAGUUUUCAAAUUCUCAAGUAUUCCUUAGCCGACACGUGGAUUGACCCUGUGUCUAUAUCCUGUUUUCAUGAGCGCUUUAGUAACCAACCAAGUUACAUAGGAAGCGGCACCAACUCCUACACUCACAUAGGUAGACUUAUCUGGAAUGUCCCUGUAACUAAAACAUUUAUAAGUCUAUUAAAAGCUAAGCACCUUAACCUUUCCCAUAUGUUACAGGUAUCAAGCACUAACCUUUGGGACGCAUCUAAAAAUAUUAUAGUGCUUGUUAUUACAACAUAUGAUGUACUUUUGCUCAUUGAACCCAAGAUCUUGAUAUUUCAAGUGUUAGGUUGAGUUUCCAUCAUUGGUGAUAAGAUGAUGCUGGUUUCAGUCCCAUCCCCUUAGAAGUUUUUAAUACAAUAUCCAUUGCAAGGCCUUUAGUUAAGGGGUCCGCCAAAUUUUGGCAUGAUUUUACAAAGUCAAUUGUGAUUACUCUAUCUGUAAGUAAUUGUCUUACAUAACUAUGUCUUAGACCAAUGUGCCUAGACUUUCCAUUAUAAAUUUGACUAUAUGCUCUUGAUAAAGUUGCCUCACUAUCAUAGUGAAUAGAUAUAGGAGGCAUUGGUUUAGGCCAGAUAGGAAUUUCUAUAAGGAAAUUCCUUAACCAUUCAGCUUCCUUGCAACAUAAAGCCAAAGCUAUAAAUUUUGCAGCCAUGGUGGAGUCUGCUAUACAAGUUUGCUUCUUUGAGCCCCAUGAAAUAGCUCCUCCACCAAGAUUAAAAAUCCAACCACUUGUGGAUGUAUGAUCAUCUCGAUCAGUAAUCCAACUAGCAUCCGAAAAUCCUUCUAAAACUGAAGGAUAUCUAGUGUAGUAUAUACCAUAAUCCAUUGUAUGUUUUAAAUAUUUUAGAAUUCUGUACACUGCUUGCCAGUGUGCUUGGCUUGGAUUACUAGUAAAUCUACUCAGCUUUCCAACAGCGAAAGCAAUAUCAGGCCUAGUACAAGUCAUCGCAUACAUAAGACACCCAAUAACACGUGCAUAUUCUAAUUGGGAUACUGAUCUGCCAGUGUUAGGAUACAGUCUUAUGUUUGAAUCAAAAGGUGUUGACACAAGCUUACAAUCAUAAUAAUUAAAUUUCUUUAAAAUUUUCUCAAUAUAAUGUGAUUGGGUCAAUAAUAGGCCAUUCUUAUUUUUUAUAAUUUUAAUCCCCAAAAUCACAUCAGCAAGUCUCAUGUCUUUCAUAUCAAAAUUAGAUGACAAUAAUGAUUUAGUGAGUUCAAUGUUCUCACUAUCAGUACAAAAAAUUAACAUGUCAUCUACAUAUAAACAAAUAAUCACACCUUUAUUUCCAUUGAAUCUGCUAUAGACACAUUUAUCAGAUUCAUGAAUAAUAAAUCCAUUUGAGACAAUCACUUUGUCAAAUUUUUCAUGCCACUACUUUGGAGCUUGUUUAAGACCAUAUAAAGACUUGACUAGUUUACAAACUUUAUGUUCUUGUACUGGCAUAACAAACCCUUCUGGUUGUUUCAUGUAAAUUUCCUCAUUUAAUUCUCCAUUUAAGAAAGCCGUUUUUACAUCCAUUUGAUGGAUUUCAAAAUGAUAAAUUGAAGUCAAAGCAAUCAAGACUCUAAUAGUAGCAAUUCUUGCAACAUGUGCAUAAGUAUCGAAAUAAUCAAGGCCUUCUUUUUGUGUAAAGCCUUUUGCUACUAGUCUUGUUUUAAAUCUUUCAAUUGUUCCAUCAACUUUCUUUUUCUUUUUGAAAAUCCAUUUACAACUUAUAGGAUUAUAGUCAGGUGGUAAAUCAACUAAUUUCCAAGUCUGAUUACCCAUAAUAGAGUCAAUUUCAUCAUUAAUGGCCUUUUUUCCAAAAAGCAGCAUCUUGAGACUUUAUUGUCUCUUCAUUUGUGAGGGGAUCAGACUCUAUAGUAGGUGUGAUCAUGGUCUGUUUUGAUUGUGAGUCUCUUGUCCCUUCAACAAAAUGGACUAUAAAAUCUGGUCCAAAGGAUUUUAUAGUCCUUAUUCUUUUACUUGUUCUCAAAUGAUUUUGCUCAUUAUUGGCAUCACGCUUUUGACCAAUUUCUAUUUGUUUAUCAUUCUCUUGAGAAUCAAUACUUUUUGGUAUAGUGAAAAAUCUAUUUUCAUAGAAUAUUGCAUCUCUAGAUUCCACUAUAGUAUUGAUCUCAACAAAGCUAUUAGGUUCUGUUACAAGAAACCUAUAAGCUUUACUAUGCUCAGCAUAUCCUAAGAAUAUGCAUCCAAUGCCCCUUUCUCCUAAUUUCUUUAUCUUAGGUUAUGAUAGCCUUAUAAUGGCUCGACAACCCCAAACUCUUAGAUAAGAAAGAUUAGGCUUUCUCUUUUUCCAUAAUUCAUAUGGGGUCACCUUUGUUUUCUUAUUAGGCACUCUAUUUAAGAUAUAACAUGCAAUUAAAAUAGCUUCACCCCAAAAACAUUUACCAAGCCCAGCAUUAAAAAGCAUAGCAUUAACCAUUUCUAUUAACCAUUUCAUGUACAAUGCCAACAAAUUCACAAAAUUCAGAAAAAGCAUAUUCACCUCCUUUAUCACUUCUAAGGCAUUUAAUUUUAGUGUCACAAAAAUUCUCAACUUUAUUUUUAUAAGUUUUAAAUUUUUCUAACACUUGAUCUUUAGAAUAUAAUAAAUACACAUAGCAAUAUUUUGAAAAAUCAUCAAUAAAUGUUACAAAAUAUUUUUUACCACCUUUAGAAGGAUUACUAUGCAUAUCACACACAUCGCUAUGAAUUAAAUGCAAUAAAGAAGAUGUUUUUUCAAUUUUUAGAAAAUGAGGUCUUGUGAUUUUAGUCUGUACACAUACUUUACAUUUUCCAUGCAUAUCAUUUUCAUCCUUAGGAAUUAACUCUAAAUUAGCCAUAUCAUGCAAUCUUCUAAUAUUCACAUGUCAUAAACGAUUAUGCCACAAAGAUAAUGAAUCAACCAUAUAAACAGAAGAAACAUUCAUAUUAUUGAUAUUGAGUUUAAACAUUCCUUCAUACAUGUAUCAUUUCCCAACAAAGGUACCACUCUUAGAUAAUAUAAAUUUGUUUGACUCAAAAACAAGUUUAAAGCCAAACUUAUUGAGAAGGUUACCAGAUACAAGGUUUUUCCUAACUUCAGGAACAUGAUAAACAUCAGUAAGAGUUAAAGUUUUUCCAGAAGUAAACUCUAGUUGCACAUUGUCUUUUCCUUUAACUAUUGUAGUGGAGGAAUUUCCCAUGUAAAGAACAUUUCCAUCAUCCAUUGCUUUAUAAGAUUUGAAAAGGCUACGAUCUUAGCAUACAUGCUUGGUUGCACCAGAAUCUAUCUACCAUGCAUUAUCAUCUUCAAGAACAUUAAUAUCAGAUAUCAUAGCCAUAAAAUUUGUGUUCGAAACUUCCUUUUGUUUCUUCAAAAGUCGACAAUCUCUUUUGAAGUGGCCAGGUUUUCCGCAAUGGUGGCAUGUACCCUUCUUUUUCUUUUUAUUGUUUUGAUUAUCUUUGGAAUCAAACUUUCUCUUUUGGUUAUUCUUAGGGUGAUUAGAAUGCUUAAACUCCUUCCCUUCCUCUACGACAUUAAUUUUUAAAGGAUGUAGUAGUCUGAUCCUCAAGACUAUUAAGCUUGAGUUCCUCUUCAAUACGAAGACUUGGGCCUAAGCCAUCCAGACUAAUUUCCUCUUUGUUAUGUUUAAGACUUUUCUUAUAGUCUUUCCGAGAGGGAGGAAGUUUAUCAAUAAUUGAAGAGACAAUAAUAGACUCAUCCACUUUCAUGUUAUGUUAGUUGAAUUGAUCAAGAAUAUGCAAAAUCUCAUUAUAUUGUUCAACCACAAGUCUAUUAUCAACCAUUCUAUAAUUAAAAAAUUUAGAAGCCAAUAAUUUCUUACUUGUGGCAUCUUCCAUCAUGUACUUAGCCUCUAAUGAGUCUCAUAUUUCUUUUGCUGUAGGUUUGUUGUGAUAUUGAUCAAACAAAGUAUCAGACAUGGCAUUGCAAAUGUGUCCUUUGCACACGUAGUCAUCUUGCUCCCACUUCUGCCGCACUCUGGUGUCCGCUAAUAUCUCAUCCUCACGUUCUUGAGGCUUUGGUGUUGUGAGAACAUAGACCACAUUGAGACUUGUCAACAAGAAAUGCAAAUUUUUCUGCCAAUGAAUAAAGUUGCCACCAUCGAACCGCUCUAAUUUGACAAAAUCUAUUGCGAAUUGUCGAAGAGAUGAACUUGGUGCCAUUGUUGCUGAAAUAACGUCUUAAGAUUGUUGGUGGUUCAAUUGUGGGGAAUGGCAAAUGUAGAGAAAUACAACAAUAAUGAUGGAACUUUAUUGCGUAAAGUAAUGUGUUUACAACUAACUCUGUAUGUAGAAGAAAAAUAAUAGUAAUAAGUAAACUGCAGAAAAUUUGUGUGCUUCAAGGCACGUUACAAAUGUCGCCUUCCUUAAGACGUUAUUUGCCCCCACCAAUUGAGUGAUGCACAUGGGUUAAGCAAAUACGCCUCCAGGAUACAAUAAAGCACUUGUUUGUUUGCUUGCGUUGUGCAUAGACGAAAGCAAACCAGAAUACUCUUGAAUGUUGCAAGUCUGCCAAGAAACAAUAUAUUGUUUCUGCAUAAAACAAUAUAUUAGAUUUUUAAUGCACAAAAGAAAUUGGUAUUUUGUGUUGAAAUUCGUACUAGAAAGGAAUGAUAAGAAAAGAGUGGUGUAGGAUCAUUAAUUUCAUGUCUAAAUGGCUUAAACAUGACCCCUAUUUAUAGAUAUACUUGUGCCCCCUCAUUUGGGUUGUCAUCUUUCAUGAUACCCCUUCAUUCAUGGCCAUUGGAUCUAGAUUUGAUUUUAAUCAAUCGUCCAAAUUGAACCAUCACCAUUUCAAAUGAAAUGUCACCAUGAAAUGAUGCAUUUCUAAGUGAAAUAUUGCCAUGAAAAGUUAUAUCAUUUAGUAAAAAUAUUCAUUUUCUAUAAGACACAAUUAAAUGGACAUGUCCUUACAACAAGACAUCAUUUAAUUACAUAUGUCUUUAGUGAAAUGUACCUUUUCUAUAAGGCACAAUUAAUAGGACAUAUCUUUACCAUAAGACACCAUUUAUUUCAUUUAUUGUUGAAAAUUUUCCAACAGAAACAAAUGAUUUGCUGAUUUAGUACCACUUUUGUAUACUGGGUGGGAUUUGGCUCCUCCAAAUUUGUAGCCAAUAUUUUACUUUGAUGAGAAAAUCAAAUAAUGUUUGAACAAAUACUUUUUUUUCUAUGUACUUUCUUAAAACGUAUGGAGUGAGUAAAGUACAAAUUGAUUUUUUAGCCCUUUGACUCUUCCAUAUUCAAACUCAAAUUAAUGGUCUGUUAAAUAUUGCCACUUAAAAUCAUUCAGCCAAAUAUUGUAAAAACUAUAAUUUCACAAAGUCAAAGUUUCACUUAUUAUUGAAUUGUAGAGUGUGCUAUCAUUUCCUAGCUAAAAGUUUGUUUAGUUCCAUUGAGUUACAAUCAUUAUUUUAUUUUAUUUAAUUAAUUAAAGUGAAUUUAUUAUGUAUAUAUUCUAUUUAUGUAAAAUUUUAAAAUUCAAGCUGAAUUGAAUUGUACUAAAUUUUUUAUAAUUUUUUGUCACACCUGCAUUUCUAACAGUUUAGUAUACAUAUUGAUAGCACAUAGUAUAUAGGAAAGAGAGAUUGAUUUCGAGUGCUACAAGAUUUUUAGGAUUGCAUGCGCAAGGGUUUAAAAACAAAGUGAGCAUUUGAUUACACUAAGCGAAGGUGCAUUUUUAUGAUGAAAUAAAAACUGGUUGUAUAAAUGGCUCCAUAAUUAGUGUACUUAACAUUCAUCUAGCUAUCACUUCCGAAAAUUAUAUCAGAAGCCGAACACAUUUCCAACUGUAUUUUAGAUAAUAGUUCAAUCCCAAUUUCGUCAACUUGUUUUAGAAAGCAGGCUUCUUGGGAGAAUUUAUAUUUGUGGUUUCAUUCUUGAGCAUUGACGAAACUUCCAACCUUGAAGGUCUAUCAUUUGGAUUCUCCUGGACACACAACAAAGCUAUAUCCAGACGUCUCAUUAAUUUACAAGUGAAAUUUGUAUCAUCUCGUGAUGAAUCCACAAACUCCAUGCCCUUGCCACAUUUCCACAACUCAUAUGCCUGAAAUUAUCAAGUAUUAUCUUGCUACAUAUUUUAUAGUACUUAGUUAGGUGCAUAUAUAUAUAUAUAUAUAUAUAGACACACACACACACACACACACAGAGGGUUACUAUAGCCAAAGAAACUUACAUGCUCUAGAAAACUUAAAUUUUCAUUGAUGCCACAUAACAUCAAAAGACUUUUCCCAGUUAUCAUUCGUAAAAGUAAGACUUCAAAGCUAAAAAUGUCUGAUUCGGUAGAGUAAACACCUCUAUGAGUGUAUUUAGGAGGAAUAUAACCUCUACAUUUGAAAAUAACCAACACUCUUUCAGUAUGUCUAUAUAUAUAUAUAAUCAGCUUCAGGUCUGGAAUUUAAAUUUGAAAAGAGUCUACAAUGUUGUAAAUUGCAUUUAUCACUGUUUUACAAUGGUAUAAAUUUAAUUAUAAAUGACUGUCAAAAAAUUAAUAGAUGGUUAUUAUUUAUGAUUAUAAUUAGAACAUUAAAAUUCAAGUCGACUCAUUUAUCUUUACAUUGAUUUUAUUCUUUGUGGUUAUACUUAGAAUAUUAAAUAAUUAAGUCGACUGGUUUAUCUUUAUGUUGAUCAUUACAAGCCUCUUGAAUCUUUUAUUUACCUAUAUUUUCUUUGAUCUGUUAUUUUGAGUUGUAUGAAAUGUAGCUUUACUCCUGUUUUCUUUACUUUACUUUGGUUUUCUUUAUUGUUGAUAGGAAUUUUCUUGUUAAAACUAUAUGAAUAAUUGAAAUUUUAAAUUCAUACUACAACCAUGAUGAUUUAAUAAAACCUUCAAACUAAAUCCACAUAUUCCAUGAGUAAGAACCCUAAGAUCACAUUUGUUCAAGUUUAUGCUUUAAGUAAAAUAAAAGUAGAAAUGAGAAUUUUAAAGAAGAAAUUCAGUUAUAAAUAAUUGUCAAAUAAUUAAGGGAAAAUGACAAACACACCCCCAACGUUUAGGCAAAGGAACAAAAACCCCUAAUGUUUUAAAAAAAACAUUUACACCCCAAUUUAUUAUAAUUUUACCAUUAUACCCUUCUAGCAUAUAAAAAAAAAUAGAUUAUCCAAUUUGUCUAUAUAUUGUUAAUAAAAUUAUAAAUAGACAAAUUGGAUAUUAUAAAAAAAAUUAUAAAUAUACCCUCAUUGUCCAAUUCCUCUAUUUAAAUUUGUAUCAAUAACCAAUUUUCAAAAAAGACAUUUAUAGACCUAAAAAAAUUGUAAAUAAAUUAUAAUUUUAAAAAUAAAAUUAAUUAUUAAUAACUAAUUUUAUUUAAACUUUAAACUUGUAUAUUUAACAAUUCUCCACAUGUCAAUCAUUUAAACUUGUACAUUUAUAACCAAUUUUCUAUGUUAUUUAUUAUGGUAUUAAUAACCAAUUUUAUUACCAACAAAGUGUUGGCUCCACUGGCAAUGGAGUCCCCUUAAGUGGCUUGACUGGGUUUGCUCCCCAGUUCAAGUCGCAGGGAAAUCCCCUUUGUUGGGAGAACCUGUGCCUUUCGGUUCGAGCGGGGAUUUCUAGUCUGGGUUGUGGUACGGGUUUAAAGGUGCCUCCCACAGUUGGGGCCCUCCCCAAGAUACCUCGUGGUCAAAACCAAAAAAAAAAAAAAACCAAUUUUAUUUUAAAAAUUAUAAUUUUUUUAUAAUUUUUUUUUAAGUGUGUAGAUGUCUUUUUUGAAAAUUGGUUAUUAAUAAAAAUUUAAAUAAAGGAAUGAGGUAAUGAAGAUAUAUUUAUAAUUUUAUUAAUAAUAUAUAGACAAAUUAGAUAAUCUAAUAAUUUUUUUUAUAUGCUAGAAGGGUAUAAUGAUAAAAUUAUAAUAAAUUGGAGGUGUAAAUGUCUUUUUUGAAAUAUUAGGAAAAUUUUUGUCCCUUUACUUAAACGUUAGAGGUGUGUUUGUCAUUUUCCCAAUAAUUAAUUGUUCAACAUUUAUUUUAUAGAUUCCACUGUUGGGACUCCAUGUGAUCUGCCAACUGGCAGGCCUUAUGUGGUUAGGUGAACCACGGUGUGCCUGCCCCAUAUAAGUUCCUCUCUUCUCAUAGAUAUAACUAUCAACGGCGCUAUGUCAUGUCCAACAAGGGCUCUUCGAAACUUUUUAUGUGAAUUUUAAACAUUACCCCAUUACGCUUUUGAAACACCAAAACUACCUCUCUUAAUUUUUUUUUUUAAAAAAUACAUAUUAAAAGAAUGUUUUAUGUCUUUAGCUUAACAGUUAGCACACGUAUUGUACUCUUGACAUUUUUCUUCUGUAAAUCUUCACUUCUUUUUUCUUUGAUUCUUCACACUUCACUGCUCUUUUAUCUCUAAAAUAUUAAAUUGUCCGUCAAAGCUUACUAUUUAAUUUACUGAUCUAAUUAUUUAGCUCUAAAUAUUUAGAUACGUUUUCUUAAUUAACUAUCACUUCUUUAAUUUUUUUGGUGAUUUCUCUUAGAUGAAAGAAUUAAGGUUAUGUCCUAGGAAAAUAUUAACUCUCAUAUUAUAGUGUUGAUAAUGAGGUUAUCCUUGAAUUUUUAACACAUGAAAACACAUUGAGGUAACUAUAAAUUCAUUGAAGGAAAUAUUUUAAUAAAUUUAGAUUUUGGUACAUAUUAUUUGUUGAAUUUUUUUUCUUUCCAAAUUGAACGCAGCCCUUAUGACAUUCAAUUCGUGAUAGUGCCACUAAAUCUAAAGUGUCGAACUAGAUCAUAUUUCUCCCUUAUGCAAACUCCAUCGUUUAUUUAAAUUUCAAUUUUGUGGCCUAUUUUCGAGUUUUCUAGUUUCACAGAGGGCAUCUUGGAUUUCUCUACGCGGUCUAUAGUCUCUAGUCCAAAUGAAGAAAUCGAAUUCACCAUGUACAUUAGUGUUUUUUUUUUUUGGGGGGGGGGGGGGGGGUUGGAAUUUUUUUAUUGGCACGGGAAGAAAGCUCUUCGGCACUACUCGGAAGAAGAAUAUGAGCAACACAUGGUCCAAUUCGCAUUGUAUGGAAGUAAAACCGAAGCAUUAGACCAAAAGCAAACCUUAUUCAUAUUUUUAGUUACUGAUAACAAUUUUUUUCCCCUCUUAUUAUCAUCUUAAUUAAGAAAUAUAGUAAUUCGUUAACUUUUUGGGAAAUUAAAAAGGAUGGCAAUAUACAAUAUUCUUGUGUUGAUGACCUUAAAAGCUAAUUCCCUUGAAACAGGAAAACUGGUAUCGUUUUUCAAAGCACAUAAAUGAUAUAUCCCAUUGAUCGAAAGAUUUCAUAGCCACACUCAAAAUUAAUAAAUGAUCCCUAAGAAUUACGAAAAUGAUAUAUGUCAUGACCCAACUUAGACCUGGCAAGAUAUUGUCCGUUUUGGGCCUUAACAAGGCCCGCACGGAUUUGUUCUUGGGGCGCCCAUACACCCCAAAACGCGUCUUGCCAAUUAAGGUGUGGAUCACCCUUUAUAAACCCAACAUCUCUCCCGUGCUUUGCCGAUGUGGGAUUCGCCUAGGGUGUUACAUACACCCCCCUUAGGGACUCAGCGUCCUCGCUGAGGUUUGCCCCACCAUCGCUCAAGAGGACACGCGGAGCCGCUCUGAUACCAUAAUGUCAUGACCCAACCCAGACCUGGCAAGAUAUUGUCCGCUUUGGGCCUUAACAAGGCCCGCAUGGAUUUGUUCUUGGGGCGUCCAUACACCCCAAAACGCGUCUUGCCAAUUAAGGUGUGGAUCACCCCUUAUAAACUCAACAUCUCUCCCGUGCUUUGCCGAUGUGGGAUUCGCCUAGGGUGUUACAUACACCCCCCCCUUAGGGACUCAGCGUCCUCGCUGAGGUUUGCCCCACCAUCGCUCAAGAGGACAUGCAGAGCCGCUCUGAUACCAUAAUGUCAUGACCCAACCCAGACCUGACAAGAUAUUGUCCGCUUUGGACCUUAACAAGGCCCGCACGGAUUUGUUCUUGGGGCGCCCAUACACCCCAAAACGCGUCUUGCCAAUUAAGGUGUGGAUCACCCCUUAUAAACCCAACAUCUCUCCCGUGCUUUGCCGAUGUGGGAUUCGCCUAGGGUGUUACAAUAUCAAUGAAAUUACAAACUCUUCAAGAGUUUAUAGAACAUUAAUUGAUCCAAAGCCAAUACAAACUGCUUACUAGUACAACAUCAAGAGAGCCAUUUAUUUUUUCAGUAGGCAAAUUAAACAACUGCAGCAGUCACUAGAGAGCUAGUAUAGACCAAUUGUUCAUCUACCAACCAAUUGUGAAAUUGUUACAUCAUUACUUGAACAUAUUUCCGAUCCAAUCGUGGCUUUAUUUUGUUCGUCUUCAUAAGCUUUGUUUGAGAAAUCGGAGUCCAUUCGAUGAGUCUAUCAGCAUUCUUUAACUAAUUAUUAGAUUAAAUGUAUAAAUUUAAAACUAGUAAAAGUUUAGAAUAUGAAAGAACCUUGAUUCAUUCAAGAAAUAAUUAAAAUUUUAAUCCUUUUCAAACUGGUUAAUAUUAACCUUAUCAUUAUAAGAAAACACAAUUUAAAAGAAAAAAAAAAUCUCACAAAGUUGGUGUGUGGAAUAGUCAAUACGUUGUGUCCUUGAUUUUUUACAAACUCUUAAGAGUCUAUAGAUGUAGUUAGUGAUAUUACAUUACAUUAAUUGAUCCAAAUCCAAUACAAACUGCUUACCAGUACAGCCUCAAGAGAGUAAUUUAUUAUUCAAUUGGCAAAUUAAACAACUGUAGUAGUCACUAGCAGCUUGCCAAGAGCUAGCGUAGAUCAAUUGUUCAUCUACCAACCAAUUGUGAAAUUGUUACAUCAUUACUUGAACAAAUUUCCAAUCCAAUCGUGGCUUUCCUUUGUUCAUCUUCGUAAGCUUGCUUUGAGAAAGUUGCAGGCUUCUUUGGAGUCAUUAUAUCAGCCGUGCUCUCAUUUUCGAGCAUCGAAGAAACUUCCAGCAUAGAAGGUCUAUCGUCUGGGUUCUCCUGAACACACAACAGAGCUAUUUGCAGACAUGUUAGCAAUUUCCACGAGGAAUGCGUAUCAUCUAGUGAUGUAUCCAUUAACCCCAUGCCUUUCCCAUCUUUCCACAGCUCAUAAGCCUGUAAAUAUCGAAUAUUUUAUUGAGUUACAUUCAAUUAAUUAGCACUAUAAAGUUUUGAUCCAGUGUGCAUUAUAAAGGGGGUUAUGAAGAUGUUGGGGAAAAAUCAGGUUUUUAAAUUUAUAUAAAACCUUUUGAAGAUCGCUCUCAUAUAAUAUAUAAGAAUUCGUAUUCUAGAAAUCGUACCUUGUAAAUCUGAGUUUGCUUUUUCCGCUGAAGUGAUUUAGGCUCCUAGAUCACGAUCCGCCACCACCACUCCUGUUAGAUCACGAUCCGUCACCACCACGCUUGUUAGAUCACGAACUGUCUCCAAUGAUCUUCCAGGUUAUGACUCAGGUUCGAUCUGCACUUGACGUGUGGGCGCCUUUAUCACUACCAAAGCAACUAGCACGAGAAAAUUUUUCUCUCAACAAUGGAGAGAAAAAUCUUAUUCUCUGAUUUGUAUAAAGUGGCUUCCCCUCUUCCUUUUUGGGAAAAUAAGCCUUAUAUAUCUCCCUUUAGUGAAAACCCUAGGCUCCAAGGAUUCCCCCAAAAUAAAACUCACGUUACUUUUCAUUUAAUAGGGGACCCACCAUGUAAAAUAACAUAAGGCCCCUUACACAUAAGCUUAUUAAAUGGAGCCUCCCACUAAAUGAUAUAUUUAGGCUUUUGACCCAAAUAGCUAGUUAUCUUGCUUAUUAGUCCAGCAGUGGUGCAAUCAAUUAAAUGAGCUAACCCGGGGAUCAUUUGGGAACAUACAAUAGUGGCUACAAUAAUUAGGCAUGUAAUUAAACUAGCCCAAUUAUUUAAUUCCAAAUCUACUCCACUAAAAGAUUGGAACUGACUUCCAUAAUUGUAUGCUCGAAUAAUAAUUCGUCCCAAGCCACAUUGAUUUCUUUACUGCACAAUCCUUUGUACCACAUCGUUAAUUAAAUUGAUAUCUCAACUGUCCAAUCAAUUUAAUAACAUCUUAUUCCUUGAUCCUUACUGGUUUUCUCUAAUGAUCAUUUUCAACAUACUAAAUAUGUUGACACACUCUGGCCAGAGAAUUCUAUGAUCAAGUACCGAAAACCUAUCAAGAGAUGUGUUGUACAAAUUCUAUAUUGUUAAUCCAUAACUCCAAUACUCAUAAUUGCUCCCACCAAGAUACCGGGUAAUCUUGACCACAAGGAUGUGUCGUGCCCAUUGGUAACUCAAAUGAAAUAACAAUCACAAUCAUGAAAUCAUAAUUAACUCAAGAUUAAGAUUACAGUAAAAUCAACGCCUAUGAGAUUUAAUAAGUCUGACAGUUAUUACAAAGUUAAUUAAAUCUCAUAUGUGAUCCUGUUCAAUGUAGUCGUACUACAUCAAUAAAUUCAUACAUGAUUAAGACAAAUCAUUCAAUGAAUUUAUUACAGUCUAUACCUAAAUAAAGUGCCCAACUUUAUUUAUCAACUGCGAACUAAAUUUAUUUAAUCAUAAGAUAACUUGUAUUUAUGUCUUCUGUGAAUCCACAUGGUGAUCACAUAAAUACAUAUAAUAUGAUUAAAUGGACUUUAAUACAAAUAUUAAUGCAAUUAAGAUAUUUGAAUAAAAUACCUCAUUUAUUUUAUUAAUCAGAAAAAUUGUUUAUUACAAUUAAAUAAACACAUAUGCUUUUAAAGAGCAUAUUUUCCCAACAAUCUCCCACUAGCUCUCAAAGCAUAUCUGGCAUAUUGCACAUGCUCUAGGGCUCUAAGUGCAGGUUAUAAAGGUUUCCCACUAAUGGCCAUUGUAAUAAGAUCUGCCAUUUAGCAUCUAAUGCCAUUUGGGGUACUGUCAUAUAACCUUUCUACACUAUUCCCUUAUAAGAUGAUACUUCCUUUCAAUAUGUUUUGUUUCUUGUGGUUCCUUGGUUCCUUAGAUUGAGCUACCGCACCACCAUUAUCACAAAAUAGUUUAAGGGGUGCAGUUACAACAGGUACCACCUCAAGAUUUCGUAGGAACUUGCAGAGCCAUAUAGCUUCUUUUGCAGCUUCAGAUGUAGCCACAUAUUCAGCUUUAGUUGUUGAGUCUGUGAUACAAGAUUGUUUCACUCUCAUCCAACUAGUAGCUCCACUUCCCAAUGUAAACACAUAGCCGGAAGUUGAUUUUCUAAAAUCCUUAUCUGACAAAAAAUCAGAAUUAUUAUAACCCACUAGAAUAAGUUCAUCACCAGAAUACACAAGCAUAUAAUUUUAAGUUCUUUUCAGAUACUUCAUUAUAUGCUUGACCGCAGUCCAGUGUUCAGGUCCAGGAUUAGAUUGAUAUCUACUAACCAUCCCUCCCGCAAAACAGAUGUCUGGCCUAGUGCAAAGCAUGGCAUUCAUGAGACUUCCCACAGCUUCUGCAUAGGGAACUCGUCUCAUUCUCUCUAUCUCUUCAGAUGUUUUAGGUGAUUGAUCCUUAGAGAAUGUAAUUCCAUGUCUGAAUGGUAAUAAACCAGUCUUGGAAUUUUCCAUACUAAAUCUAGCCAAUAUCUUAUCGAUAUAGACCGCUUGAGACAAGGCUAAAGUUUUAUUCUUCCGGUCUCAUAGUAACUUGAUACCAAGAAUAUAACUUGUCUCUCCCAGGUCUUUCAUAUCAAAUUGUUUUGCUAACCAAAUCUUUAUUGUAGUCAAUACUCCUAUAUCGUUUCCAAUCAGGAGAAUAUUGUCUACACAAAGAACUAGGAAGGCUACAAAUUUUCCCUGAAUUUUCUUGUACACACAUGGUUCAUCAAUGUUCUGAAUGAAUCCAAGUGAUUUAAUCGCUUGAUCAAAUCUGAUGUUCCAUGACUGGGAUGCUUGCUUCAAUCCAUAAAUAGAUCUCUGCAACUUACAUACCAUGUGUUCUUGGCCUUUUUUGUAUAAAUCCAUCUGGUUGCUGUAUGUAGAUGUUUUCUUCAAGAUGCCUGUUAAGAAAGGCAGUCUUGACAUCCAUUUGCCAAAUUUCAUAAUCUAGCACUGCAGCAAUGGAGAGCAGAAUCCUGAUGGAUUUAAGCAUAGCAACCGGAGAAAAGGUUUCCUCAUAAUUGAUUCCUUCUUUCUGAGUAAACCCUUCGGCUACUAAUCUUGCUUUAAAUGUUUCCACCCUUCCGUCUACUCCUCUUUUUCUCUUGUAGAUCCACUUGCACCCUAUAGGUUUUACCCCAUUUGGUGCCUCUACAAGUUCCCAGACUUUAUUGGAAUACAUAGAUUCCAUUUCUUGAUUCAUGGCCUUUUUCAAAAUUCAUCAUCUCUAUCUAUUAGAGCUUCGUUGUAACUAGUGGGAUCUUGUACAUGUUCAUCUGAGAUAGCCUUAUAGGUUUCUCCCAAAAACAUGUAUCUUGCAGGUAACCUAGUUACCCUCCCACUACGACGAGGUUCUAAAAGUGAUGAUUGUUCAAGGAUAAUCCUGUGCUGAUCAGCUGGUUGUUGCUGUUCUUCCUGUUCUAUAACAGGUGUUGAAAGCUGAGCAUCAACCUGAUCUCUUUUAUUUCUCUAGUUUUACCUUACUCUUAGGUUAUAAGUCAUUAUAUAGUCUUCCUCAAAGAAAGUAAAAAAUAUUUCUAUAAAUACAUUCCUAUCUUGAGGACUAUAAUUCAGACUUUCCCUUAUUCCUUUAAGAUACCUAAAACAUGCAAGCUUCUGAACACGAAUCCAUCUUCUCUAUCUCUGAUUCUAGUAGAAAUACUAGUAAACUCCAAAUACGAAUGUGUCUCAAACCAUGUUUGUGACUUUUUCAUAAUUUCUUGGAGUAGUGGACACCGAGAUAGAUGAAACUAAGUUCAAUAAACUUUGUAGUUUCAAAUACUAGUAUCUGGAAUCAAAAAGGUAAAUGAUAAACCACUUAGUAUAUAUCUUGUCUUAUCCAAAAGAAUCUUGUUUCUCCAUUUAAUUACACUAUUGUAUCAUAGUGUUCAUUGACAACCAAAUAGUGCUUGAAUUCUCCAUAGAGAUAUUCUUUGUUUCGAUCAUAUCGAAAUUCUUUUAUGUUCCUGUCUAAUUGCUUCUGUCUUAUUCACGUACUCUUUUGAAUUUCAAAAGCAAUGGAAUCAUGACUCAUUUAGACAAACAUAAAAUGAAUAUUCAUCAACUAGAUUGAUAGAAUACUCAUAACCUCUUAUAACAUGUAAACUGAUUAGUCCGUAUACAUUUGUAUGCGCUAAAUCAUCAAAUACAAUGUUAUGCUUUUAGCUCAUAAAGAGUAUCCUUGUCAUAUUACUUUUCUAAAUAAGAUUUAUAGAGUUACAAUGAUCAAUCUUAAUAGGCCAACAAGUCUAUCAUUAAUCAUUUUCUUAAAAUCUUAUUAUAGUUUAUAUGACUUAAGCAUAACUAUCAGAGGUGAUUUUUGGUUAGAAGAAACAUUUCUUUUCUUAGAUAAAUGCAUAUACUUUUAAUCAUUAUAUCUUACUUUGAAUAGAUCAAUGUACUUUUAUGAUAUAAAUUGUCUUUAUAAAUAACCAAAAUAAGUAAUAAACAGAGGAUCCAAAAAUAACAGUGUACUCCUGUUUAUUAAAACAAGCCACUGAAAUUAAAUUCCUCUAAUAUUUGGAAAAAUAAAGACAAAUAUCAAAACUAAAGUCUUGUAAAAUUGAUCUAGUCUUUCAAUUGAUAUAAACUAGCACAUCCUCAACUGCUAUUUGAAGCUUUCUUCACUUAAUCUCUUGGUUUCCUGAAAACCAAAUAAAUGAAUUACAAAUAAGAUUAGUUAUCUCAGAAUUCAUUAUUGUAUGAAUCAAUAGAAAUCUGAACUAAUUAGGAAGCUUAAAGAUUUCCUAUACCUGAUUUUAAUAAUCUUAGGACAAUCUUUCUUCCAGUGACCCUUCUGUCCACAUUUGUAACACUUGCCUUUUGGCUUGCCACUUCUUUUAAUGGACAGUUUGCCGAUCCCAACUCUUGCUUGCUCAUUCUUGUCUUUUGACUUAAGCCUUGAAGAGAAUCCUUUUUCAGGAAGUUUUCUGCUAUGAUAAAAUUCUUCUAUAGCAUUAAUUCAAUUAAGGUCAUAUCUUUAUUGUUUAAGAUAUAGCUGACCUUAAACUCUUUGAAUGUAUCAGGUAAAGAUUCAGUAAAGAUUCAAUCACCAUGUUAAUCUUUGAUUUAUCAUUGAUUUGAACACCAUGAAUCUCUACCUCAUUCAAAUAGUCCAUCAUUACGAACUUUUGUGCCCUCUUCCAUCUGAGUAUCCGUAAUACGUUUCAAUGCUGCUUCUCUGGCAAAAUGGGUAUUUUUUCCAAACAUCUGAUGAAGACUAGCCAUUAUUUCAGUAGCUGUUUCCAUGCUCCGAUGUUUCUUAUGCAGUUCCACAGAAAUCGAAGCCAAUAUAUAGCGCUUAGCCAUUUUGUUAGCUUCGCACCAUUUCUCAUAAGGCUCCCUCUGAUUUCUAUAAUCGUAUAACGAUGGUUCAGGAGGGCAAGGCUGGGUCAACACAUAUUUGCUUCCCUUAGCAGUGAGAAUAUUAAAUAGAUUGCGUUUCCAAUCUAAAUAAUUUUCGCCAGUGAGUUCAUUUUUAACAAGGAUAAAUAAUAAUGGGUUGAUGGAAGACAUUUUCUGAAAAAACAAAAUACACAUGCAUAAAUACUUUGAAACAAUAUUCACAAUAAAUGACAAAAAUGCAAAAAACCAUAAAUGCAUUUUAAUUUAUUGUAACGAUAAUCUAGUACCGCUUUGACAAGCUAUCCGUUGGGGAAGUCAUGUCUACACUUACUAGACCCAAUUAUCCAUUGGAUUAUUUACUUUCAUGUAGAGACAUGAUAAAUAAUUAUCGUUAUCCCUUUGGACCUAAAUUUGUUAACAGAGCUUCGUUGGGAAGGUUAAUAACAAACUUUAGUUGAGUGUAUAACCAUUGUUUCAAUCUACGUAUUUUUCAUAUCAAUAGUCACCGUUGGGGUGAACAAUCGAUUGAAAAAUAUUUCAAUUUUAUCUUUGAAGAAGUUCAUCAAAUAAAAUAUCUAAUAUAUAUACCCUCCGAAGGGAGCAUCACCGUAUCAUGAAGUCGAGGUAUAUAUAUAAUUUUAUUAUUGAACUAACAAUGGAGCCCGUGGGAAAAUUAUCUUGAAUUUUCCCUCUCCCACUCAAUAUUUUAAAAUUGGUUUUUCCUUUUUAAAACAUACAUAUUGUUAAUUGCAUGCUUCCUAUAAUAUCAUCUAGAUGAUAUCAAAUAUUAUUAAGCAUAUACAAAUUUCAAACAAUAUAAUGAAAUUCAUUAUUAAUGAAUGACAUGUAUCAUUAUGCAUAGAGUGGCACUACCUAUUCUAUAUGACAUGUUAUCAUGGCAUGUUAUCAUCCAAAACAUAACAUAUAGAAAAACUAUUAAAUAAUCUUAAUUCAUGGCUUUCCUAAUAAUGAAAAAUACAUUAACCCUAAGCCUAAUCUUCAUUGGGCUUCUUGUCAAUGUCCAUCUUCCAUAAGCUUGUUUUUGUUAAUGGACUAGGGGAAAUUGGGCUUUUAAAUUUAUAAUUGGUCCAAUUUUUAAUUUUAAAAAGAAAUAAAUAAAUAAAUAAAUAAUUUUAUUAAAAUAAAACUUUUGGACCAAAAAUAGAUUUAAUGUGUUCAAUUUUAUCUAUGCAUUAUAAUCCAUUAAACCCAAUUGAAAUUGGGCCUAAAGCUAGGAUUCACAAAGCCCAAAACUGUUUUUGGACUUAAAUGCAAAAAACUUAAACGUGUCUACCCAAAAGAAAAAAUUAUGGAGCCAUAGGGACCUCAAUGAUAAAAACCAUGAAACCCUAAAUCCAUAUUUUUCUUUCUCUCUUCCCCAGCCGCCAUCUCCAAAAACCUCCACCACUGUUCAGAUGCCAGCCGACCUCCGACGCAUCUCCGACAUCGAACCACCUGCCACCGCGUCGCCGGAAACGCAUCAAACUCGCGCGCGCUGCUGGCCACGCUGGCCCCGCGCGCUGUUUGCUGCGCGAGCAGCCUGUGCCAUCGCGUGCUGCGCGCACAAGCCACGCUUCCCGCGCGCGCUGGCUGCUGCGCGCUGCUGCUGCGUGCACGCUUGCGUUGCAGCGCGCGCUGCUGGCAGCAUGUGCUGCUGGCCGCGCGCUGCUCGCGCAGCAGCGUGUGCUGCUGGCCCCUCGUUGCUGAAAUUUCCGGCCUCGAUUGUUUGCGCUCGUUUUCCAGUGAUGAUGCUUCGGUGAUUUACAAAUUUUCAACGCAAAUUUUGGCUUACAAAAUUUCAAUUACAGUAAAAUAAAUCAAGAGGGAAUUAUGGUGAUAAAAAACCACCCCUCUUGUUACAGAUCCAAAGAAAAAAUACAUCGGAAAAUCUAACCAUGAAUUAAGACAAACCAUAACAUGCUUUAUUCAUAUAUUAAACAAAUAAUAUAUAUCUGAAUAAAUUGUGCCACUCUAAUACAUAAAUUUCAAGAAUGAUUUCAUACAAUAUUCUUAUAUAUUAAUAUGAGAUGGCUCUGAUACCAAUUGUUGGGGAAAAAUCAGGUUUUUAAAUUUAUAUAAAACCUUUUGAAGAUCGCUCUCAUAUAAUAUAUAAGAAUUCGUAUUCUAGAAAUCGUACCUUGUAAAUCUGAGUUUGCUUUUUCCGCUGAAGUGAUUUAGGCUCCUAGAUCACGAUCCGCCACCACCACUCCUGUUAGAUCACGAUCCGUCACCACCACGCUUGUUAGAUCACGAACUGUCUCCAAUGAUCUUCCAGGUUAUGACUCAGGUUCGAUCUGCACUUGACGUGUGGGCGCCUUUAUCACUACCAAAGCAACUAGCACGAGAAAAUUUUUCUCUCAACAAUGGAGAGAAAAAUCUUAUUCUCUGAUUUGUAUAAAGUGGCUUCCCCUCUUCCUUUUUGGGAAAAUAAGCCUUAUAUAUCUCCCUUUAGUGAAAACCCUAGGCUCCAAGGAUUCCCCCAAAAUAAAACUCACGUUACUUUUCAUUUAAUAGGGGACCCACCAUGUAAAAUAACAUAAGGCCCCUUACACAUAAGCUUAUUAAAUGGAGCCUCCCACUAAAUGAUAUAUUUAGGCUUUUGACCCAAAUAGCUAGUUAUCUUGCUUAUUAGUCCAGCAGUGGUGCAAUCAAUUAAAUGAGCUAACCCGGGGAUCAUUUGGGAACAUACAAUAGUGGCUACAAUAAUUAGGCAUGUAAUUAAACUAGCCCAAUUAUUUAAUUCCAAAUCUACUCCACUAAAAGAUUGGAACUGACUUCCAUAAUUGUAUGCUCGAAUAAUAAUUCGUCCCAAGCCACAUUGAUUUCUUUACUGCACAAUCCUUUGUACCACAUCGUUAAUUAAAUUGAUAUCUCAACUGUCCAAUCAAUUUAAUAACAUCUUAUUCCUUGAUCCUUACUGGUUUUCUCUAAUGAUCAUUUUCAACAUACUAAAUAUGUUGACACACUCUGGCCAGAGAAUUCUAUGAUCAAGUACCGAAAACCUAUCAAGAGAUGUGUUGUACAAAUUCUAUAUUGUUAAUCCAUAACUCCAAUACUCAUAAUUGCUCCCACCAAGAUACCGGGUAAUCUUGACCACAAGGAUGUGUCGUGCCCAUUGGUAACUCAAAUGAAAUAACAAUCACAAUCAUGAAAUCAUAAUUAACUCAAGAUUAAGAUUACAGUAAAAUCAACGCCUAUGAGAUUUAAUAAGUCUGACAGUUAUUACAAAGUUAAUUAAAUCUCAUAUGUGAUCCUGUUCAAUGUAGUCGUACUACAUCAAUAAAUUCAUACAUGAUUAAGACAAAUCAUUCAAUGAAUUUAUUACAGUCUAUACCUAAAUAAAGUGCCCAACUUUAUUUAUCAACUGCGAACUAAAUUUAUUUAAUCAUAAGAUAACUUGUAUUUAUGUCUUCUGUGAAUCCACAUGGUGAUCACAUAAAUACAUAUAAUAUGAUUAAAUGGACUUUAAUACAAAUAUUAAUGCAAUUAAGAUAUUUGAAUAAAAUACCUCAUUUAUUUUAUUAAUCAGAAAAAUUGUUUAUUACAAUUAAAUAAACACAUAUGCUUUUAAAGAGCAUAUUUUCCCAACAUAAGAAACUUACAUACUGUACAAGGCUUAAAUUUUCAUUCUGGCCAGAUUGAACGAACAAUCUUCUUCCACUUAUAAUUUGCAAAAGUAAAACCCCAAAACUGUAGACAUCGGAUUUGGUGGAGUAGAUGCCUCUCGUAACAUACUCAGGAGGGAUAUAGCCACUGUUGUACCAAGUAAUUACAAAUGUCAGUGAAAUUGUCUGACGUAAAAGGUUAAGCUGAUUGGUAAAGGCUCAACAAUAGCAUUAAAGAUAAGUCGAAAAAUAGACGUAUGUACACUUACUGUGUUCCAACAAUUCGACUGGUGUUUGCUUCAAGGUCGUCUUUCACAAAAAUUCUAGCUAAGCCAAAAUCUGAUAUUUUAGGCUUCAUAUCUUCAUCCAAUAAAACGUUACUAGCUUUCAAAUCUCGAUGAAUAAUUGUUAAUCUAGAAUAUUCUUGAAGAUAGAGAAGCCCUUGAGUUAUUCCUUGAAUGAUAUGAAUGCGUUUUUUCCAAUCUAAAAUAAACCUUCGGAUGGGAUCUACAUCAAAUAUAAGUAUAGUUGGACGGUCGGUAGCAUUAGCAUUUGGAGAUGAGAAAGCAAAUGGAGGCACAUAAAUUAAAAAUUAAGCAAUUAAGCUCAUACCAAAAAGGAAAUAGUCCAAGCUUCGUCUUGGCAUGUACUCAUAGAUCAGCAUUUGUUCUUCUCUGUCAAUGCAAAAACCUAAAACCCUAAUAAGAUUUACAUGUUGGAGUUUUGCAGUAAGCAUAACCUCAUUCUUGAACUCCUCAAAUCCUUGUUUGGAUGUCUUUGAGAGUUUCUUCACUGCUAUUACCUGUCCAUCAAGUAAUACACCCUGCAAACACCCCCAAAACAUUAAAAAGAAAAAAAAAAGGCAAUGUUCAUAUACAUGUGUGUGUGUGUGUGUAUUUCGCUAAUUAAUUAAUAAGAUGAGAGAUAGCCAAGCUAUCGAUAUAUAACCUUGUAAACAGGGCCAUAUCCACCCUCCCCGAGCUUAUUUUCAAUUGAAAAUCUAUCCGUGGCCACCUCAAUAUCAGCCAAGCUAUAUUCUCUAAGAUCAGGAUCAUUGCUGUUAAAAUCUCCAGCAUGUACUUGACUAUUUUCUCCGUCCUUUGAUGAUUUGGCUGAGUCAAUUACUAUCCCAAUUAAUAUCAACCAAGGAAAAAAAAGAAAAAGAAAAAGAAAAAAGCUAAUUUAAGUAAAUUGCCCACUUCUUCAACUGUGCUAAAUAGAAUAGAAGUAAAAAUAAUCCUAAACCCGCGUAGAAGAAGUUACCUUUUAAUUUGAGGUUUUUCAUCAAGCAGUAGUAAUACAGCCAAAAACCUAGUAGAAGAAUACAAGCUGCAGUUGUAGGCAAAACAACUACCCAUAACAAUCGCUUAUUUUGACCACUCUUGUCAUCCUCUUCAGCUGAAGAGUCAAUCACUUUGCGUUGGUUAACCAUUGAUGCUGAAAUAAAGAUCUUAAUUCAAGUCAUUAUCCAGAAAAGUGAUCAACGGAUUGCAGUGAGUGCGGAAUUCCAUUUGCUUACCUGCAGCUUGAGAAAGCAUCCAAUCAUGAUCAUAGGAAACUAGCCACACAUGGUAACCGCGUAGCUUCUUCUCCUUGGCAUAUGCAACCUUCACUCUAAUGGCCUCCACAUCAUCAAAACCAAACCAAAUCUUCCCAAUCGAGCAGUAGUUCACCACAUAAGUUGAAUUGUACAAAACAUGGACAUUAGGACCAUAGCUCUUGAUGUGAUUCUUGAUUUCUCUAUAACUCACAAGACCAUCUUCACUCAAAGCUGGUCCCGUUGCUGCUGCACCAAUACCAUUGUCCUCAGGUUUCACAAGCGUCCAUGCAUAGCCAUAGAAAGGCAAACAUAAAACCAAUUUAUCAGCCGAUAACCCUUCCUCAAUCCAUUCCGUGAUUCCGUAUUCAGUAUUAGAGUCACUAUUUGGAUCAUACAGAGCCGCAUGAGCACCAGUAAAAUUUGUCCACGUAGGGGCUGAGUAAUCAGUAGUGAAAACAUGGACCCAAUUCAAGUACUGUCUUAUAAAGUCGACUGGAUAAGUUGCUUCUGUUAAGAAUGGUGAAUAUGAAACCGUUGCCGUCAAAAUCAACUGUGAUUGGCUCGAGUUAUUUCUUGCUUCUAAAUCUACGGCAGCUCGCCACUCUUUAAAGAGAAUGGCAAUAUUGUAAUUAUCCCAGCUUGUGUUUGCCUGAGACCAAGACAGAUCUAAGCCUUGAAAGCCAUAAAGCCUUGCUAUUUUUAUUGAGGAGUCAAUGAAGGAUUUCCUGGAAGAAGGAUUGCUUGCCAUGGAAGAAUAAGUUGAAUAGCUUACAUCAUUUCCUCCUCCGAUGGAAAGAAGUGUAGUGAUCGAUGGGUUCUUUAUUUUGACUGUGUGCGUGGAGUUGGAGAAUUGUUUUUCAUCCGAAGGUAAUAAAGAAAGCUCAUAGGAAGUUGAGUUGACAUCAGCAAAACCACACAUAAGGUGAGUGAAGAGAGCAGAAUUUACAUCUGAAACAGGGAACCCACCGCCUGAAUCCCAGUAACCAGCUCUGAUUAAAGUUUGUGCUCUUGCAGGAAGCGAUUCUGAAAAUAUAAAAAUGUGGAGGACAAGAAUGAUAAUUUUGGAUGCCAUUGUGGGAACCUGGCUGCUUGAGGCAUACCUAGUAUGUGAUUAUAUAUUUGUGUACACACACAAAAUGUAAUGGAGAAAUUAUCCUUUACCGAUUGAGAUUAGUUAUUGCACUAAUAAUGAUGCAAACUUGAGUCAACUUUCAACUUAUGAGCUUAGUCCAUAAGUUUUUAUACGAUAUCAAAUUCAAGUUAUGAAUGAGGGACCCUAUAAUACCUUCCAACCUAACUUAAUAAUUAAUCUUAGCCAAUGUGACAUACUUGUUCUAUCACUUUAUCACGACCCAGUCGAUCUUUUAGCUUUGUCUUUUUUCAUGAUAAUAAGUGAUAAGAUUGAAGUUCUUAAAUUAAGCUAUGACUUUUGACCUCCACUUAGCUUGACUUCUGAAGUUGGAGACUCGUUCUUUUGUAUUGACUUUGUUGGUAUUUAAAUGAACUCGGAGUCCUCUACGAGUUUUUGAAGCGAAGUCAUUAUUCCUCUAUGACUCCAUCCAUGCAAUUGGAAGGCAAAAUCUUGUGAAAAUAUUUUCUAAGUUGAUUCAGUCCAUGAUCAACGUGCACAAAACGCAAAAUCUUGCGAAAAUCAAACCCGUCCUCACUCAUGAGCUCGAUUUCUAACUUAAACUCCUCCUCACUCAUGACAUACUAUAUAAAAUAUCGAGUUGACCUCACUUUAUUAAAUUACAGCUUGUCAUUGAAUUGAGUGUUGCCUUAAUUAAUCCAUCAACUUAAUAAAGUGAUGGUCAUUAAGAAAUACACUUAGUUACUUCCUGAUGGUAAGAUUCAAUAAUAUUGUAAUUUAAAAAAAAAAUCCAUAUACCUUUUCCUUGGGUAAUUUAAUUUCCAGUCCAGUCCACCCUCCCAUUUUAUCAUAAAAGUCUACACAAACAUACGUUUUACUCAAUGUUUACUUAGAAACAAAUGGCGCGCGUACGAUUGCCGAUCUAGUACCACUCUCGUAUGCUUGGUGGGAUUCGGCUUCACCAAAUUUGUAGCAUAUAUUUUACUUCAAUGAGAAAAUCAAAUAAUUAUUGAACAAAUAAUUUUUUUUUUCAAUAUACUUUCUUAAAAUGUAUGGAGUUGGUAAAGUGCAAAUUCAUUUUUUAGCCCUUUGACUCCUCCAAAAUCAAAACUCAAAUUAAUGGUCAGUUAAAUAAUGUUACUUGAAAAUCAUUUCCUAGCUAGAAUUUGUUUAAUUCUAUUAAUUUACAAUCGUUUUUCAUUUUACUUAAUUAAUUAAAGUGAAUUUAUUAUGUAUACAUUCUACAUACAUAAAAUUUUAAUAUUCAGUGUUGAAUUGAAUUGUACUAAAUUUUUUAUAAUUUUUUGUCAGACCUGCGUUUUUAACAGUUUAAUAUUAAUAUUAAUAGCACAUAAUAUACAGGAUUAAGAGAGAUUGAUUUCGACUGCUAGCUACAAGAGUUUUAGGAUUGCAUGCACAAGGGUUUAAAAACAAAGUGUACACUUAAUUACUCUAAACGAGGGUGCAUUUUUAUGAUGAAAUAAAAACUAUGUACAGGGUUGUAAAAUUGGUUCCAUAAUUAGUGUACAUUAACAUUCAUCUAGCUACCACCUCCGAAAAUGAUACAUCAUAAGCCGAGCAUUUUUCCAAAUUUGUUGUGGAUAAUAGUUCAAUCCCAAUUUCAUCCACUUGUUUUGAGAAAGCAGGCUUCUUGGGAGUAUUUGUAUUUGUGGUUUCAUUCUUGAGCAUUGAGGAAACUUCCAGCAUUGAAGGUCUAUCGUUUGGAUUCUCCUGGACACACAACAAAGCUAUUUCCAGACAUCUCAUUAAUUUACAAGAGGAAUUUCUAUCAUCUAGGAAUGAAUCCACAAACUCCAUGCCUUUGCCACCUUUCCACAACUCAUAUGCCUGAAAUUAUCAAGUACCAUCUUGUUACAUAAUUUAUACUUCUUAAUUAAGUGCGCAUAUGUGUACUCAGGGUUACUAUAGCCGAAGAAACUUACGUGCUCCAGAAUGCUUAAAUUUUCAUUGAUGCCACAUAACAUUGAAAGCCUCUUUCCACUUAUGAUUUGUAGAAGUAAAACUCCGAAACUAAAAACGUCUGAUUUGGUAGAGUAUACACCUUGUCUGGCGUACUCAGGAGGAAUAUAGCCUCUGCAUUCAAAAUAACCAAGUAUAUAUGAGUAAGGGAUUUUGCAAUUUAAUAAAUUUGUAAAACCCAUUUUAAAUUGUGGUAAAAGUCCAUUCUGCAUUUUAUUAAAGUGCUGAAUUCCUUAUUCGAAACCCAAUAUAUGUAUAACAAACAGAAGCUUGAGUAAAGGAUAUCAUUGAGAUGUAAUAUACUUACAUUGUUCCCACAACUUGUUCUGUAUUCGCUUUGAGACUCUCUUUUGCAAAAAUCCUAGCCAAACCAAAAUCUGAAAUUUUAGGUUUCAUAUCUUCACCUAACAAAAUAUUACUGGCUUUCAAGUCUCGAUGAAUAAUAGUCAGUCUUGAAUAUUCCUGGAGGUAUAAAAGGCCUUGAGUUAUCCCUUCAAUGAUAUGAACACGUUUUUUCCAAUCCAAAAUAAGUCUUCUGAUGGGAUCUACAACAAAUAUAUAGUUUUGGACAAUAAGUGAUAUGCAAAUGAAUUUUAUACACGAUUAAUAUUAACUUGAUUUCAGAACAAACCAAAAAGGUAGCAAUCCAAGCUUUUGUUUGGCAUGUAUUCGUAGACCAGCAUCCGUUCCUCACUGUCAAUGCAAAAACCUAAAACUCUAAUAAGAUUUACAUGUUGGAGUUUUGCAGUAAGCAUAACCUCAUUCUUAAACUCCUCAAAUCCCUGUGCGGAUGAUUUCGAAAGUUUCUUCACUGCUAUCACCUCUCCACAGGGUAAUACACCCUGCAACCCCAAAAAAACCACGUUCAUAUAAAGCUUUCACUAAUUAGAGAAGCUGAGAAAUGUUAGCCAAACAAUAUGCUACCCCCCAAAGUUGAGGCCACCAUUUUAAGUCCUUUAAGUCCCCAUGGACGCAAAAUGUAAAUCUCCUCUCACAGAAUAUGGAUAUGGGUAGAGGUAUCUUCCUAAAAUGUUAGUCGAAGUAGUUAUAUCCCUCUAGUGUGAGGUUAGAGGUCUCAUCUCUAAUAGGCAUAGAUUUUUAAAUUAUAUGUUUUGGGCCUCUGAAUUCUACGACGAGUGUACAAAUUCAAACUUCCGAUAGGAUCCAAAUUGCAACAUUGUAGAUUGUAACAAAUUAAAAUAUAGGUACACACACACACACACACAUAUGUUACCUUGUAAACAGGACCAUAUCCACCCUCCCCAAGCUUAUUUCUAAUUGAAAAUCCCUCGGUGGCCGCCUCAAUAUCAGCCAAACUAUAUACUCUGAGAUUAGGAACAUUUCUGUUAAAGUCUCCAGCUUCUGUUUCAUUAUUUGCUGUCGUGUUUGAUGCUUUAGCAGAAUCCUCUGUUCCUAACAUCAACCAAGAGUACAUAUUAGAUAAAUAAUUGUAUGUCAGCCUCAGAUUUAUGUGUAUAUAUAUGAAUGAAAUUCAUGCUUAAUUAUAAUUGAUAUCUGAAACUUGUUACCUUCUCUUAAAUUGAGCCUUUUCAUCUGGUUGUAUUUAUACGCACAACAGCCUAGAAGGAGAGUCAAAGCUGCCGCUGCAGUAGAAAUGAGUGCAAUGGACAGAUGGCGGUUAUUACUAUAUUCAUCUUUGUCAGCUGAAGCAGAAGUAAUCCUCUCUUUUUGUGCUGGAAAUAUGUAUAGUUCACCAAUUAAUAAUAACUAGCUAGAGAUGCCAUAACAAUCAUUAUUAAUCAGAGAGAACAAUUAUUGCAUAGAUAAAUACCUGCAGCCUGAGAAAGCACCCAAUUAUGAUCAUCAUAAUCAACUCGCCACACAAAGUAACCACGUAACUUCUUCUCCUUAGCAUAUGCAACCUUCAUUCUAACGGCCUCGACAUCAUCAAAACCAAACCAAAUCUUCUCAAUCGAGCAGUAAUUGACCUCAUAAGUUGAAUUGUACAUAACUUGGACAUCAGGACCAUAGGUCUUGAUGUGAUUAUUGAUUUCCUUAUAAGUCACAAGGCCGCUAUCAUGCAAAGCUGGUCCUGCUGCUGCUGCACCAAUUCCAUUGUCUUCAGGUUUCACAAGCCUCCAUGCAUAGCCAUAGAAAGGCAAACACAUAACCAACUUAUCUGCCGGUAAUCCUCUCUCAAUCCAAGCCUUUAAAACCUGAUCGGUACUUCUAGCAAAGCCGCCGCUACUUGAGCCAUAGAGAGCCGCAGGCGGUGCCGUGAAGUUUGUUGACACAGGCUCGUAGUAGCUAGCAGUAACCGCAUGAACCCAAUUCAAGUUUCGUUGUCUCGAAUUCAAAAGAUAUGAAUUCGCUGGUGGUGAAUAAUGAAAUCUUGCGGUCAAGAUCAGCUGGGAUUGCUGGCGACUAGAGUUUUUUGCCUCUAAUUUUGUAGCAGCAAUUCGCCACUCGUCAAAAAGUAAACCAAUAUUGAACAAAUCGGUGCUUGUGUUUGGAGCUGUCCAAGCAAAGUCUAGGCCCUGAAAGCCAUAAAGCCUAGCUAUUCUUAUUGAACAGUCGAUGAAAGAUUUUCUGUGAGAAGAAUUACUCACCAUUGAAGAAUAAAUAGAAUAGUUUGUAUCCAUUCCUUGUCCAAUGGAGAGAAGUAUAGUGAUUGAUGGGUUCUCUUUUUUCAGUGUCUACGAAUUUGGCGAUUUGAUUUUCAUCGGAUGGUAAUGAUAAAGAUAGCUGGUAAGUGGUGGAAUUGAUAUCAGCGUAAGAGCAAAUAAGGUGAGUGAAGAGAUCAUAAUUUAUGCCCGAAAUGGUGGACACUUCGCUUGAAUCCAAGUAACCGACCCUGAUCCACGGUUUUGCUUUCGCGGGAUGAAAUUCUGAAUAGAAUAACAUGUGGAAGAUGAUGCUGAUAAUUAUGGAUGCCAUUUGAGACUUUGUUAGGAAUGGAAAUGGAUCCACACAAGAGAAAUUAAAUAAACACUAGUUUCACAGACCAUUUAAGUUCUUAUGUAAACUAUUAACUUAUAAGUUCAUUUCGUUCCAAAAAAAUCUUAUGUGCUCCGGAUAGGGACACAUACAUUGCAUGUUAAGAUGAUGAUAGGCGAUGCGACCAUUGCCUGAGAACUAAGAUUUUCUUCCAUCGCUUGGGUGACCUUUCACGAAGAAAGAUGAUGUUUUGAUUUACAUUUGGUUAAAUUGAUGACAAAUUUCGGGCUAUAAAUAUCACUCUUGUUUUAUUAAAUAAUUAAAAAAAUUAAUUUUACAUGUACGUUGAAAGUUAAUAUUGCAAUCACCAACAAGUGCGUAGAUCAACUGGCAAGGGGUUGUUCUAUCUUAACCAAGGUUCUCGGUUCGAGACUUGAGAAUGCAGUUGCGUUAAAUACUUGUUGGGAGAGUUUUGUCAUUCUAAUGGUCUUACACGGCUCGAAUCUGAAUUAGAGUUUUGCCACCCUAAUGGUCCUACACGGCUCGAAUCUGAAUUAGUCAAGACCCACUGAAUUAGAGUUUUGCCACCUUAAUAGUUCUACACGGCUCGAAUCUGAAUUAGUCGAGACCCAAUGAUACCAAAUGGCUUAAUAUACCAAAAAAAAAGUUAAUAUUGCAGUCUUUUGAGAUUGUGUUGACGUUUAUUCGGUUCGUUUAUUAUAUAUUCCCGUUUUUCUCCCUGUCUGUUUGCUACAGUGCUCUUAAAAGGAUAGCAUCUUUAAUGCACCUCAGAAGUAGUUAAGAAAGUCUUGAUAAAAAACCAGACAUUUUCUAUCUACUCAAAACGUAGUUAUUGGACUAAUUAAGAUUCUAAUCCCUUUAAUAAAUAUUCAAAAAGGGUUACUGUCACUACUCAGUCCUUGUUGUUUUAUAUAAAUAAAUAAAAAAGAUAUUUAAAGGGGCAUCACAUAAAUCCUUCCUAAUUACAUUUUGUUUCAUUCAAGUUGUUGACUUAAUUUGACUGCCUGGAAAAAUUAGUAAAGAGGUAAAAAUAAAAAAAAGGUAAAUUCUAGUUAUUAGACUAAAUAUAUAGUAUAAAUUUGCAGCAACUAGCAAAAGUUUAGAAUAUGAAAAAUCCUAUUUCAUUUAAAAAACAAUGAAAAUUCUAAUCAUUUUAAAAAAAAAAAACUCUGAAAGUUUGAAAAACUAAGAUUUUAAAGUCCUUUUACAAUAACCAUAAUUAACACAAAUUUCCGAAUUAUUAUUACAUAAUAAAAUUUUACUAAUAGAAAUAAGAAAACAAAACAAAUAGCACUCAAAUCGGAUAUAUAAAAAAAAUCUUGAAAUAAAUAGAAAAAAUAAGAAAAUAACUAAAACUUGCAAAACGACCACGAAAGAAAUGAAAUUUCCGGCCGAACUAAGGGGCCAAUGUGCAUAGUAUUAUUGGACUAGAUUUAUCACACCACAAGCUUCAAAACAAUAUAUUAUAUUUCCUAAAUGGACACAUGUAGGUUAAGUUACUCAAUUGUGUUAGGAGCUGUCCAAGCAAAAUCUAGGCCCUCAAAGCCAUAAAGCCUAGCUAUUCUUAUUGAAGAGUCGAUGAAAGAUUUUCUGUGAGAAGAAUUUCUCACCAUUGAAGAAUAUAUAGAACAGUUUGUAUAUCUUCCUCGUCCAAUGGAGAGAAGUGUAGUGAUUGAUGGGUUCUUUUGUUUCACAGCGUCUGUAAAUUUGGGGAAUAUUUGAUUUCCAUCAAAUGGUGAUGAUAAAGAUAGCUGGUAAGCGGUGGAAUUGAUAUCAGCGUAAGAGCAAAUAAGGUGAGUGAAGAGAUCAUAAUUUAUGCGCGAAAUGGCGGACACUUAGCCUGAAUACAAGUAACCGACCCUGAUCCACGGUUUUGCUUUCGCGGGAUGAAGUUCUGAAUAGAACAACAUGUGGAAGAUGAUGCGGAUAAUUAUGGAUGCCAUUUGAGAGGCUUAAGCUUCUUAAUUACCACUUCGAUGGGAAUGGAAAUGAAUGCACACUAAGAGAAAUUAAAUAAACACAAGUUUCACAGUUCAUUAAGUUCUCAUGUGUACUACACAUGCAUUGCAUGUUAAGAUGAUGAUAGGCGAUGCGACCAUUGCCUAAGAACUAAGAUUUUCUUCUAUCGCCUGUGUGACUUUUCAUGAAGAAAAAUGAUGUUUUGAUUGACAUUUGGUUAAACUGAUGACAUAUUUCGGGCUACAAAUAUCAGUAUUGUUUUAUUAAAUAAUAAAAAUAAUAAUUUUACGUGCAUGUUGAAGGUAAUAUUGCAGUCUUUUGAGCCUGUGUUGAAUUUCAUUCGUGUGCGUUCAUUUAUUAUCCAUCCCCUUUUUUCUCUGUGAGUCUGCUAGUUGUAGUCAUCUUAAAAGGAUAACAUGUUUAAUGCAUGUAAAUGCACCUCAGAAGUAGUUAAGAAAGACUUGAUCAAACCAGAUAAUUUUCCUCUUAACACAGAAGUAGUUAUCGGACUAAUUAAGAUUCUAAUCCAUUUAAGAAAUAUUCAAAAAAGGUUAUUGUCACUACUUUAGUCCUUGUUGUUUUAUUAAAGAAAGAAAGAAAAAAAGAAUAUAUUUAAAGAAGCAUCACAUAAAUCCUUCCUAAUUAUUACAUUUUGUUUCAUUCAAGUUCUUGACUUAUUUGACUGCUUGGAAAAAUUAGUAAAAAGGUAACAAUUAAAAAAAAUGUAAAUUCUAGUUAUUAGACUAAAUAUAUAUAAAUUUGCAACAAAUAGCAAAAGUUUAGAAUAUGAAAAACCCUAUUUUGUUUACGAAAUAAAGAAAAUUCUAAUCAUUUUCAAAAAUAAAAAUCUCUAAAAGUUUGAAAACUAAGAUUUUAAGGUCCUUCUAGACCAACCAUAAAUAACAUGAAUUUACCAAAUUAAGCAAACUCGAAUUAUUAUUAUUACACAAUAAAAUUUUACUAAUGGAAAUAAGAAAACAAAAUAAAUAACACUCAAAUUCGAUAUCUAAAAAAUAAAGAUAAAAAUCAUGAAAGCAAUAGAAUAAAAUAAAAUAACUAAAACUUGCAAAAUGACCAUGAAAGAAAUAAUUUUUUUUGCUAAACCAAGAGGCCGAUACGUAUAGCCCUAUUGUACUAGAUUCAUCUCGCUGCAAGUUUCAAAACAAUAUAUUAUAUGUUUUAAACGAACUCUUAUAAAUUAAAUUAUGACCUUAAAAAAAAUCCUACUCAUCUUACAUAAACAUCCUAUGUCACUAUAUAGUUAUACAAUAAUAAUAUAAUCCAAACACUCAUGAAGCAUAACUCAUGCACCCCCACUAAUAACCGUGAAAUUUAAUCACAUUUUACAAGAGAGAGGAAUGUUCUCAUUUAUUGGGGAUUAAACCAAAUAGUGUAUCUUCGAUUUUCUGCUAGGUUGUGUCAGGUUGGGCUUUUCAGAAAUCCUUUGACGAAAAGUCAUUGUCUUCAACAGCCAAAUCUUGGGCCAGUGGGCAAUUAUGGAAGUCCAUUGGAUGCAUUGGACCAAACUAAAAGUCCAAAUUUUUUUUUUUAUUCUUACAAAAACAAAUUAUAUGUAUAUAUUCUCUUCAACAACCUAAAACUGGGCCAAUGGGCAAUUAUGAAAGUCCAUUGGAUGUAUUGCACCAAACUAAAAGUCCAUUUUUUUAUUACUACAAUAUAUAUAUAUAUAUAGAGACAAAUAUUUUAAUUUAGAAUUUUAAAGUGCGGGAUAGUCCGGAAUAUGCAGUUUUAAAGACUUAAAACUAUAAGUUUUUAAAACCAUAUAAUUUUAAGUUUUUUUCAAUUUUUUUCGUAUUUUAAAAUUUCAGACCAAAAAACUACAAUAUAUAUAUAUAUAUCAAUAAAUGAAAUGACACAAUACAGUUGGCUUGCCGUUGCAAAGCCUCUUUGUUUGUUAUUAUUUAUUGGCUUAUUGCAAUAAAGACUAAAGAGAGCUUUGAGCCAUGCAGCAUGGGAAGCUCCAUUAAAAAAUAAAAGAAUUUAAAGCUUCAAGGAUACAUAAAGUGUGCCCACCCAAUUAAAUUUUUCUUUGAAAAGAGAAAAAAAAAAAAAAAAGCUGCAAUUGCAAUGACUUGAAUUUAUCAUCAAUUCUGGCUUAAUUUGCCCCCGUCAUUUUUUCAAGGAGAAUGCCCAACUCAAUUGUGACGGCUGCUGCUUCAAUUUUAAUUUUAUUUUUCUCAAGAAUAGUCAUUUUCAUCCACCAUAUUCCUGCAUCCUGAUGCGUCCUUAUUGCUUAUAUUAUUAUAGACCACUUUUGGAAGCAUAACAAUUUUUGCACACAUGGUCUCCAUCUUGCGGACCCAAAUGUUGAUGAUAUACUUGCAUGCUGCAAAAUAAGCCCUUUUAAUAACUUAUCAUCUGGUAAAUGAUAGUUUAUUUAUUUAUUACAUAACAAAUAUGUUAUGCCAUAUGCCACCUAUUAGUGAAAGAUGUUUAAAUAACUACUCUUGUAGUAAACUCCUGAAUGAUGGCAAGUUAGAUUCAGACUUAAUGCACUAACUUCGAUAUUAUUAUUUUUUUUAACAUGGUAAUUAUUUUCUUCUCGCUAGGAAGUUGCAAUGAUUCAUAAUAAGGGAGCAUUUUGCUUUAAUACAAUCCUUAAUAGAAGAUUUUCUAGAGAUGUUUAUUAUUAUUAUUAUUAUUAAUCCCGCGUUGGUCAGGAUUUGAUUACUAUAAUAUUGACGAUUCGAUUUCUAACAAUUUUGUUUAUUAUAAAAUUAAAGCAAGUGAGUAGUCAUCUAGAAAAUCAUAAUCUCUUUAAAGGCAUCAAAAGGCAAUGGCAAUGUAAAGUGAAUGUGAAUCUACUAGUAACAUGUUUACACGUGUAUUAAUCUUAAAAUAUUUAAAUACAUAAACCCAAGAUUCUUGGUUCCAAUAUGAGCUUUAUAGUUAAGGAGACCCACUUCGUAUGAUGGACUUGUGAGUUGUGAGAGAAAUCUCUAGAAUUUAAUUAUGCCGAAAGAAUCUUAAUCAAAUCGUAUCAUAAAAAAAAAAAAAAAAAUUCCAAAUUUUGUUUUCUUCUUUUGACAAAAACCCUCGUUCAAAAUGAUUCAUAUAAAUUUAUCAAUAAAAGAUUUUGAAUCAAUUAGAAAAUGGAAUUGUCAUGCGCACAUCUUUUGCUCGAUCGUUCAGUCCUUAAUCAUGUUUUAAUUAUAACCCAAACACGACAAUGACAUGUACGAUCUACAUAAAUCCUCGAUAUUAAUUGUCAAUUGGUUCUGCGAAUUCAAUGUGCAAAGUCUCACAAGUCAUAAUAAAUUUAGGAAUGAAAAGUACGAGCGGGUAGCAAGAAACCAUCACUCAAUUCCAAUUGAUAUGUACACUUCAUUCAUUUUGUCUUUUACAUAAAUGGAAAAACUAAAAAGCGUAACAAUUAUUAAACACAUGCCCACUGCCCUGCUACCCGGCCAAAGAGGGGCCGUUGCUCUCUUACAAUGGUUCAAUGAAGGCAUUCAUUGAAGGGUGCUUCGACGGGAGCGGUAUUAAGAUGAGUGAUCACUUGAAAAAUCUUUGAAUUGCACCCCUCCUUUUAAACCAACGAGCUCGUGGAUCAGUUGGUAUAGAGUUGUUUUACUAUAACUAAAGUUCUUGGUUUAAGAUUUGAAAAUACAGUUACGUUAAAAUAUUUUUUAAGAGAAUUUUACUGUUCUAGUAGUCAUAUUCGAUUCGAAUUUGGAUUAGUCAGAAUUUAAUAUAAUUUUUUAUUAACAGAUGAUUUAAUACACAAAAAAAAUAAAGGGAUUCAUCUCUCAAUUAUUAAUGAAAAAAAAAUGCGGGAUGUGUAUUUCCGUGUAAAUAAGAACAAUAAUAAUAAUACAACACAUCCCCAUCAAAAACCUAGCUGAUGCUGAUGCUGAUGCUGAUGCUUCUGCAGAUUCUGAUUCCCCCUCCCUUUUAGCCAAGGAAGCAGAUGAUGACAGCAUCACAGUGCAGAAAAGAAAGAAAGAAAGAAUAUCAUUAUACUCCCACAUCUUCUUGAACGUUGUGCCCUCUACAUGCACAUAUGCAUGUACAUAUUAUUAUCAUAUUGUAGUAAGUAAUGUUUUAGCUUUCAACAUAAACAACAUUGUGAUUAAUCAUAAUGCCACAUUAUACAGUUCAAAUAUGAAAGGUUAUGAAAUUAACUUCUAUAUACAAAUGCGUUACAUAAAGUGCGCGACGUCGUUCCUUUUAAUAUAUAUUGUAAAUUAAUGAAUAAUCAUUCGUAAAAAAAAAAAAAAGUAUUGUCCGUUAGUGAAUUAUAUAUACAAGCAGAGCCUCUACAAAUUAACAGGGUGGGACUAUAUAAAAUUUAUUAAUUAAAAGAGAAAUUAAAUAAUCAAUAAUUUAUAUAAUUUAUUAGUUUACAGAAUUAUUUAUAAUUCAAUUAACANNNNNNNNNNNNNNNNNNNNNNNNNNNNNNNNNNNNNNNNNNNNNNNNNNNNNNNNNNNNNNNNNNNNNNNNNNNNNNNNNNNNNNNNNNNNNNNNNNNNCAGAGCCUCUACAAAUUAACAGGGUGGGACUAUAUAAAAUUUAUUAAUUAAAAGAGAAAUUAAAUAAUCAAUAAUUUAUUAAUUUAUUAGUUUACAGAAUUAUUUAUAAUUCAAUUAACAUACAUCAACAAUACUUCAUAAUUUCUUAUUACAAUUUGAAAAGUCAACCGCAGGACUUCUAGGUGUUAAGAAAAAUAAGAGAUUGAGGUCCAAUUAGAUUUAAAUUUUAAGAAAAGAACAGGUAACAAUAUAAUCAUACUUUAUGUAAAUAAGUGAUAAUAGAGUCAUAUUUUAUUCAAUUGAUGGCGAUUUUAUAGCAUGAUUACCUAAAUUUUGACGAAAUAAAUGAACAUUUGUUUGUACCUUGCAGGUAUGUGUCCGUUUAAUAAUAGUAGAAUGUACUUUUUUUCUUUUUUCCUUCUUACGACAAAAGGUUAAGUAGAUUUUGAGGUCCAGUCGUAAAGAGACAACUUGGGUACGUGUGUUUUUUGUAAUGUGUGCAAUUGCUGGCUUUUCCGAUGAUUUUGAUUUGGGAUUGCGUUGUAUAAUUUGCACAAUCAUCUCCUUCACCUUUGGAUUCUGUAUCUCUCUAUUUUGUGCUCUUUCUCUCUGAAUGGUAGCCACAUAUACGACUCUCUUUUCCCUGAAUACAUGAAAUAGGCAUUAGUUAUUUUACAUGAUCAUGUAAGUUACAUAAUUCUUUUAUAGUUAUUAAAUAAAAAUUUAAAAAAUAUAAAAAUAAUAUUAUUUUAUUAUUUUAUAUUUUCACAACUGUUGAAUUUUCAUCAAACGAUUAUGAAAAAAUCAUAUAUUUUAUAUGAUUACCCUUUUUUUAUGAUAACAAUCUCUCGUAAAAUAAUUGAUCACCCUUUUUUUUUAUGAAAAAUUGAUAUCCUUGCUUACACACAUGACAUAUUCUCCUUGGAAGUAAAGAAAAAAUUUCCAUUAUUCUGCAUUGUGCGUCACAGUCCUGACAGCGUUUUAGGCUCUGUAAAUAGCAAGAAAAUAACUUGUUUUCUUAUUUCCUUUUACUAAUUGACAAAAUGAUGAGAAAAAAAAAUGAAAAAUAAGGAAAAAAAAGUUUCUAUUAUAACAAGAAAAUAAAGAUUAAAGUAAAAUACCAUGAUACGUAGAAUUCUCUAAAACGAUAUCUAAAUUGAAAAGUGUAAUAAAUAAUUCGGGGAAGCUUGAAAAAUGUAACAACAAAAUUUGUGACAAAUAAGAAUAAAAAUAAAAGCUUAUUGGAUGGAGCCAAUAAAGUUUAGAAAGUUUUUAUUUCGCUUAAGUUUAUAAUUUAGAGUCACAAGCAACAAGUUCGUAAACAUCAUGAAUUUUUUUAGGAUUGCAAUAAAAAUUGUGAUUGAUAACAACAAAUUUACAAUUAAUAAUUGAUAACAGACAAUGGUUACGUGGGUAUUUUCCAAUUUACGGAGCCUCAAGGGCCAAGGUUGACCUAAUAUUGCCAUAUAAAAAUAUUUUUUUAAAAGAAAAUAAAAUAUAUGAUCUAAAAGAAUGUGUACCAUGAUAUAAUUGAUAAAAUUUUCAUUCUUUCAAGUUCUAAGAGAGUCUAAGAGAAACGUGAAAGGCUUAAAGUGCAUAAUAAUAAUAAUAAAAGGAGAAAUUUUAGAAUACUUCAGAUAUAUUACAACCACCACUUUAAUACAACCACUAUAUUACAACCAAUAUUACAACCACAUAUAUCAUGUCAUUAUUUGUUUGUUGUAUGGCUGACAUGGUACAUCAGAUAUAUUUUAAAAUUUCUCUAAUAAAAGAGACAUGUGAAAGCGAGAGCAAUAAAAAAAAUAAAAUAAAACCUCUAAAUCGGAAACUUUUAAAGAAUAGUGAUGGUUGUCGAAGCCAACAAAAAUAAAUACCUACUCUAAAUAAAUUGUGUAUAGUGAUUGAGCAGGAUCGUGUCCACAUAGAUAGGUAAUUAUUUAAAUCUUUUUAAAACGUAAAACAUAAAAUGAGGGUUUUGUUGACAAAAUAACAAUAAAAUGAGGGUUUUGAUGGGGAUGUGGGGUCCGCCUAUGUUACCACUGUGGUAAGGUACCACACUUUUUGUCUCCAUCCUAAAUUGCCGUUGGAUGUAAACUGAAUGAAUCUAACGGUCGAAAAAGAAAAAUGGGUAAAGGCCUAUUGCCGGUUGUUGAAAGAUAAUUUAAUAAUUAAACUGUGGUAAAAAAAUGUUAAAUAAGCGUCCACCAGAGGCCUUCAUCAAAAGAUUUUUCACACCCCAAUAAGGAAUUAAGAUCAUCAAAAUCGUUUCCUCCCCCAGAAAAUCCGAUAAUUGAAUUCUUUUUCACCCCCAGAAAUGACGAUCAAUUUCCCCUAGAAAUUGCUAUUGUGAAGUUUAAAGUUUUGGUAUCUCCCGAUAAAGGCAGAAACGAUGCAGGUAAAAUUCACGGCGGAUACAUGACAACGGGAACCAACUGGAAAAGAUAUUGGGUGGUUGUGGAAGUUUAGCAAUUAGACACAUCAAUUUGCCUUAGAACAGAGUCAAUUUCUCACGUGCACUUGAUCUAUUGUUGUGCCGCUGGAACGGAGGCAGCAGGUAAUUAAAAAGAAAAAAAAUGUUUAUUUUUGUUUGCAACAGUAUGGCAAUGGUAAUUUGCUUAGGAGUGUCGGUCGUGUUUAUUUGUUAGAAUAAGUGAAGGCGAGAUUAGUAACAAGUACUGCUUGUUUAAUUUGAUUGCAAUAAGCACUACGUUGAAGGAGCGAGCGAGAGGGAAAUAAUUCCUUGGAGAAGAUAUUGUAGAAUGAUUGGGCUAUUAUCUUGCAAUCAACUGUGAAGGUACAUAUUUCUUUCUUUUUGUAAUGGUUAAAUGUAACCAUAUCGGUGAUUCAAUUAACCUUGCUUGGUUAUUAUUUUUAUUUUGUUUUGUUUUUUGUGUUAUCUGCUGCUGGUGGCCAAUUAUAUAUGGAUGACAUUGGGGUUAUGAAUUGUUAAUUUAGUUUUGUGAAUGGGGUGCACGUAGCUGAGGAAAAAAAUGAGUUGCUUGGCUAUAAAAGCAAGCAUGUUCAUGCGCUUUGGGAAUGUACCCCCUUGAAAUGCUUUGUAUACUUGGUAUAAUAGGCUAUAUAUCUGUUGCAGAAAAUGAAUAAAUUUUCAUGUUGACCAUGUUCUUUAUGGGCCAUGAGUUGAUGUUCAUGAUUGUUUUAUAUUGUAGGACUGCUCAGUGGGGUUCUGUUAAGAGAAGGUCAGGCUCUACCAGGUAGUCACCUUAUGGCUCAACAUUUUUUUCAUAAUGUUCCCAUCACAUGAGUCUGUUUGGACAAGUUCUGCCUGUUCAACAUGUAGUGUCUCCGAAGUCUAUCUUACUGUUUGUGUGUGAGGUGUUGCCCUCUCCAUUAGUAGCAAGGAGCCAAGGACAUGGCUGUUUGCAGGUGUUCUUAAAUUAAGCAUGCAUUUAGAACAUGUAAAAUAGAGUGCCUCUCUCAUGGCAUGCAGAGGAAAACACCCAUGAGAAGAAUUUAGCAGUAAACAUAUUAUAAAGGGCAUCUGAUUUUGUUCUUGGAUGAUGAUAUGGUUCUCAGCUGUUUUUAUGAUUAUAUUCAUAAUAGUCUUAAUUCAUUUACAGUAUCCCAUUUUGUCUUCAAAAUGCUUAGAAAGUUUUAUCUUUUGAAGCCUUAAUUGCUUCCUGAUUUGAUGUGUAUACAUACUCCUGGAAUUAACGAACAUUCAGGGCAAGGAUCCUUGACAAUCUCAGGAGCACAACAUAUGGAUUUAGUCCAAGAGUUAGAUACUGUAACCAGGUCCUGCGUGGCUGGACAAUGUGUUGAAAACUUGCACAAUAACAUGGAGAUUGAGGUGAUCACUGAUAUGAAAAGUUUAAUUUUCAUCGAGUUACUUGUUUAAUUUCUUUAACUUUUAUAUUAAUUUUUAGUUACGUUUUAAUUGCACCAACUUCCAAUGAAUUUAAGGAACAAAUUUUGUAGGAGUCGAUGCUACGGCAGAAGCAUUGUGAACCGAUUAAAAAUUUGCCAGCCAUUACUAUUUGUGACCGAAAGUGCUGUUCUUUUGUCAAUCAAGAGUUGCCAUUUAUUAAAAUAUGUCCUGAAAGAGGACGUUAUCGGGUUGGACCAUUUCUUAUGCCUAGCCCUUUUGGUAUUGAAGAGGAAAGUUUGAUUAACUUCUGCAUGGAUGAUGAUCUAAAAAAAGGGUAAGAUUAAUUUGAUAUUGUUAAAGUAAUACAGUUAUGUGCAUUAAUUAAUAUGAACAAUAAUUUCGAGAUUGAAAUACAUACAAUUCUUACUUGUUGAUCGAUUCUGUGGAUGUAUUGAAAGAAACUUCAUAAAUGAUGGUAUUUCUGUGGCAGGGAGAUGCUUUUCCAAACUAACUUCUAUGGGAUUACUAGGAAUGAUAUCAUGUCGCUGUCUCCCAGAAGUAUAAUCAAUAUGAAGGUACAAUCGUAACUUCUAUUAAAACUUGUAUGUCCGGCAAUAUUAUAUAUCGACAGCUUGGCCACUUUAAAUAUAGAGGCAUAUUGUAUUUUUGACUUUGGUAUUUCAAUAAUUAACUUCAUAUGUGCUGUCGAGAAGACAUAAACAUUUAAAUUUCAGGUUGUGUCAGCUGUAUCGGAAUUGCUAUCUGCUCAAACAACUGUAAACGUUGGACAAAGUAAAUUCAACCUUUUUCUGCCUGCUUAUAACACUGUAAGCAAUAUAUUUUAUAAUAUGGCGUUGAUCUUUUGUGUUUAGAAUAGGUUAAAAUACAAGUUGGUGUGUGCUGCACUGUGGUGUAUUUGUUUAAGUGCAAAUGUUGGUGUAUAAAUAUAUCUUUAUCAUUGUAUUUACAAGUUGAGAUGAAACUUGAUUUUGUCAAAUAUGUGGCAUGGUCAAUGUUUGUACUGGAUAGAAGUUUCGGUUGCCAUGUGAUGACACAAACAACCAUUAUGUCAUUUCAGUUGCAGGAUCAUGUUGGUGGCGAGUACAGAGACGCAAGUGCUGCUGUUGGAAAGUUUAUACCCUCUGAUUUGUACGCAAAGAAUAUUCGUUCUUGGGAAAAAGUAAGUGAAAGCAUAUAAUGGUUUUACAAAAGCUAUGUUAAUAUAAACCUUCGUCAUGAAGUAAUUUUUUUUUUUUUUUGUGGCAAUGCAUCAUGCGUUAUAGAUUUUUAUCCCUGUCAAUUGUGGUCAUGGAUGCUGGUACAUGUUGGUUCUAGUAAUUUCUGAAAUGCGAGUAGAGAUAUUGGACCCGCUUCCUACUUCAAUGUGUAUGCAUUAUAAUAUUGCAAUAUGUAAACGACUGGUACGUAUUCUGUGUUAAUUAUUUCAUCAAAUGACUACUAACUUUAUUUAAAAUAGUACACAAGUAAACUUGUUGUCUUGAAAUUUUUGAUGAGGCGAGGUCACGUUGUUUUGGUUUUCUUUAAACUUUUUCACCUAUUGUCUGUUAUUUUACAGCUAAGAUCAAUUGAGAUCAUGUUGGAUCAUGGCGGUUCAAAUGUUAACUCUAGUAGUUUAAAGUUGAUGGAUUUUUCGGUUGACUAUACCCGACAGCCUUGCAUAUGCAGUGAAUAUGAUUGUGCACUGUAUAUAAUUCUGAUGAUGGAGAGGCAUAAUAUGAGGUCAACCCUUAAUGACGCAGAGGUUUAGUGAUUUGAUGUUACCCACAAGAACACAUGUAUCUAAUAAACUUUUUAUUUCACUUGGCAUUGAAACCUUGGGAUAACCUUCUAUUUAAGCUGUGUGUACAUUGUUUUUCCUGAUCAGUUCCAGUCGGAUGCCGAAAGAGCACGAAUUGUCAUCAAACUCAUCACGUGUAGUUUCAACUUUUUGAAGGAUAAGGUUCGCUCAAGUGCUGAGAUGCAUCAAAGGCGAAUCGAUGUGAAAAAAAUGAGAGUUUACUAAAAUUUGAGAAACUGUUUAUAUAAGUAUAUGUAUAAACGAUCGUUCUGAUUGUUCUGAAUUAUGUGGACUCACUCAUUAUUUAUAUGAGAGCGUUAUUAAUUACAUGUAAUUUAGAAAUUCGUAUACAAAUAUUAUCAACCGUAUUUCAUUGUUUUUGUUAAAUUCCCUAUAGGUAAGUAUUUGAUGGGUGCAGGUAAGGUGCGCCUCACAACUUCAACCACUACAUAAUAGAUGCCUACUGACCGCCUUUUGGCACGUCAAUUGUCCUACGGUGACAACUGAUGUACAUAUGGAUGGGCCCACAUAGGCAAUUACUGUUACAAACCGUUGUGAAAGCAUAGGAAUGCGGCACAAGUAGUCAUGGAUUAGGUAAUAAAUAAUUAGGGUGAGAUACGGGAGCACUCCAUCAAGAAAUUUCAAGUGUGACAUGCAUGAUUACAAGGAUAUCUGCAUUUUUUAAUGGGGAAAAAUAAAGUGAAGUAAAUUAUUCAUGCGGAUGUGGGCUGAAUAGUUCUGAAAUAUAGGUUGAGUCCAUGGGUAAGUGCAAUAAUAACGACUAUAACAUUCCCAAAAUUUUAUAUUAAUAACAGCUUAAAAUUUUGCAAUAUAAUAUUUUCUGUUAUAUACAUCUAAUCAUGGGCCACAUAUAGUAUUACAAGGAACAGAUUAAAUAGGUUAGGUAAUAGUAAUAUUUGACAUUAUAGGAAUACUAAUUAUAAGAACGAAAACGAAUUAAAAGUUGUAUGAUUACUUGUAUAAUAUAAUAUGUUUUAAUUUCUUAAUUUGUUAUAAUAUAAUUGUAGAAAUAAAAUCAAAAUAUGUUUUAGGCAUAUGUGAGGGCAUUGUGGCGUCUCCUUCGUUGUUUAUAGAGAGCAAAAUGGUGAAUCCUAAGAAUCAGAGACUGAAAAUAGCGCAGAAAUGUCGAGUUGUACAUAGAUGGCAACCAUAACCUUACAUACAUGUAAAGGAUAAUCAACAGAACAUAUUGGCAUAUCAUUAAUUGAAAGUAUAAUGUUGAUAUACAUUAAUUAGUUGAAUUUCCCUUUAUAUAUAUACACCCACUACAAGAAAUACAAGGUGUUGUGGUUGGUAAAUAUUGACGGAACAAGUGGAAUGCCAUUGACUAAUGAUUGAACAUGGAGGGAAUUGGCUUGCCCUAUUUACAUAUCCACUAAGUUUAACAAUUCAUCCAAUUACUAUAUCUUCUUCGAAAGAAUGUUAUUAAAAUUAGUGUUAUUUUUAAAAUAUAAAACCAAUAUCAAUAUUUGAUUGAGUGCCAUUAGUAUCUUGUAUAAUGGAAAUUUGUUGACAGCUCUUGAAUCCCUGCAUAUCAAUACAUAUAGACUAGAGUUAGGAUGAAAUUCGGUAUACAAAACUAAAAUACAAGUCAUUGCAUGAACAAAUAAAAACAAGAAAAUAAACUAACCUAAGAAAUUUUUCAUUUCACGGCAAGUAUUGAAUUAAUCUCAGCAUUAUGUUUUUGCAUUACUGACAUGCUGCAGUUAAAAUCCAUGCCAAAUGGGUUUAAUGCCGGUAUGUUUACAAAUUGGAAAACCGCACAAGGGAAUUGAGAAGAUUACAAGACUUCAUUGAGAAGAUUAGACCAACUUUCGCAUGCUACCUUGGAAGAGAGGAGAUGAAAAGAUGACGAGAAUUGAGAAGAUUACAAGAUGAAUGGGUUGUACACAGAAUGGAAAGCGUGGAGUAGAAGUGAAACGGUUAUUGUAUAUAAUGAGUACAGAAAAUAAUUUAGCCUAAUAUAGAAGAAUUAACCAUGAAAAGUAUUACAAUUUACCUAAUAAAGAUAACCGAGAUGGCUGAUAAUAUAUCUUUUUAAACAAUUAGAUGAUAUCAAUAUUCGGAAAAAAUUUGAAGAUUAGAAUGGGUAAGAAUAAUCCCUAAAAAUAAAUAAAUUUUUAAUGUUUUAACUAAGUAUUCAAAUUAAACUGGUAAUUAAUAAAACCAUUGAUUCUGUUGUGUAGUUUACUGGAGUGACAACCGACAGCAUCCGAGACUUUCAAUUGUCCCAAACGGUUUGUUUUGGGCUUGGAGAGAUAGUUGUAGUGUUGGCCCCUUAAACGUUGAUUCAACAGUACUAUCAGUUAAAACAAUUUAUUAACCAAUCGAUGCAUAUGGAGAUAUAACUGUCGACCAAGCAAUCUAAACGACCUAUCAUGCUGUACUCGGAACAAGGGGCUUUAAUAUUAAAAUGGAAAUGGGAUUGGUGAAGGAAGCUUCAUAGACUAUUCUAUUUUCUGUAAAAUUGACAUUGACAAGGCUCAUAUGACACCGGAAACAAAGAUUUUGUGUGCACCCGCUGCAUACACAAAAAUAUUUCGCGCCAAAUCAAAUAAUGGUCAACGGACACACUUUAAGCGCGCAAUAAUGAUGAGCAAGGUGGAGAGGAAGUUUCCACCUUGAUCACCCAACUCCAACGCGAAUAUCAAAAAGCAAAGCAUAAAGGGGACAGCACAGUUUAAAUCGCUUAACCCUCUAAACCAUCUUGUUCAAAAUAACGCAGUACUCAGACCAGACAGCAAUCAAACUGUGUCCAGUGAAGAUUCAAGUUAUUGAACGAGGUAAUAGGCUCAAACUUUUGUUUUAAUAUCUGUGCCUUUUGGGAUAUAAUGAAAGCAGUGAAUCAUAUAGGAACUUUAUAAUGCCAAAAUUUUUUAAUUUACUAACAUAAUGAAAAUGUUCAGUAGUUGUAAAAUGUGUUAUCAAGUGCCGCGAUUACACUGACGCAACGUUGUUUGCUGUUCCGACGUUAGCAAUAAAUUUUACGAGCUUUAAUCGUAUCACUCAUGUAACAUUGUGGCACAACCAUUAUAAGUUAACAUCUGUUGGCCAUUAUUCCACAAUGAACAUGAACACAGAUGAAUUUAUUUAUUUUUCCUCGUUCAUGUUCAUUGACAGGAUGUAAUUUGAUAUAUUCUCUAUUUGGUAUUGAUUGUAUGCAAAAUAUGUUUUAUACAAAUGAAACGAACAGGGUGUGAUAUACAGACAAGGAUGGAAGAGGAUAAAGAAUCUGGUGUCGUACAGAGGUCAAGGCAAAUGAGACAGAACUAUAGUGGUCCUACCAACCAAGCUAACAAAACCAAUUGUUCUCCAGAAUAUAUUCGUAGCCGCAGAACUGGAAAUAGACGGGCACGCAAUUUAAAUAGUGAUAGUGGCCAAGCAGAGCUUUCCUUCAAGAACAAACGUGGAAGGAUGAAGGGAAAGAUUGCGAGAGAGCUAUUUCCUGACAGGAAAGAAAGUUACGAAGAAUGCAUGGGUGAAGGACCAACAAGAAUGGUGCGUGAUGCCGUGCAUUGGUCAAAAGGGUGGUUGACGGAUGAUGAAGAAGAACAACUGCAAGACAAAAACAACGACGAAGACCAAUUAGAAGGAUACUCAUCAGAAAUUGACAAGGGUAGUUUGUAUAAACUGAGAGAUGCCGAAACAUCUGAAGAUGUGGGUGACUGGGUCAAAUUUGAUGACACUCCGAGGCAUAAGAUGGUCUUGUAUCAAGGGCAGAGAUUCAGAGAUGUCGGUGAAUUUAGAAAGGCAGUUCAAGUUUUUGCAGUUCGUGAGGGGUUUAAGUUGUGCGUAAUGGAAAAUAGGAGUCACGUCGUAUGCUAUGAGUGUUCCGAUCUUCGCUGCGACUGGGUAAUACAAGCAGGGCGAGUUAGUGACGGAACGACAUUUAUUGUAACAGAUUUCAUGCCACAACAUACAUGCAUUCGACCUCCCCUAAAAUUCCAGCCUCAAUCCAAGUGGAUUUCAGCAAUUUAUCUUCAUAGAUGGAAAUUGCAACCAAAGGUUAGUACAGUAGAGAUAAGGGAUGAGAUUGAAGCAACCUAUGGGGUAGUUUGCCCUGAAGGGAAACUGUUGUCUGCAGCAAACAGAGCAAAGCAUAUUUUGGGCAUGGACCAUUAUGAUGGUUAUGCAAAGUUGAAUCAGUUAAAAAAAGAAAUGGAGAGGAUAGAUAGCCAUAACAUUGUACUGUUGGAGACUGAUGGGGAUGAAAAUGGAGAGGGAAAAAGAUUGAACAAGAUGUUUGUAUGCUGGGAACGGACUUCUUAUGCAUUCAAGUAUCAUUGCCGAGGUAUACUGGCUGUUGAUGGUUGGAAAAUGAAUAACCCGUAUAAAAGUGUGAUGCUAGUGGCAGCUGGACUUGAUGGGAACAAUGGGAUAUUACCUGUUGCAUUUUGCGAAGUUGACGUCGAAGACUUGGAAUCAUGGGUGUAUUUUUUAAAAAAUAUAAACAAUGCCUUGCGUUUGGAGAAUGGUAAAGGUAUAUGCAUUUUGGGUGACGGAGAUAAUGGGAUUGAUUACGCUGUUGAAGAGUUCCUUCCUGAAGCUGCAUACAGACAGUGCUGCCACAAGGUUUUCACUGAAAUGGUUAAGAGAUUCCCUGCAGCGCCAGUGCAACACUUAUUUUGGUCAGCUUGCCGCAGUACAAGUGAAGCAUCCUUCCAUAAAUAUAUGGAUUUGAUACAGCAACAAAGCAAAGAAUGCCAUGAAUGGUUGUUACAAACAAAUUGGUCAAGUUGGGCUCUAUUUUCAAUUCCUAAAUGGGUUAAGUGCACCAGUGUAACACUAUCGAUUACUGACAAACUUCACACUCGCUUACGUCAAUAUUUGGAGAUGAGUAUUGCCAGAAGAUUUACAGGAAUUGCACGCUUGACAGCUGAUUUGUUUGAACGAAGAAGAAUGGCAGUGUGGAAUUGGUAUAGAGAGAAAGUAACGCCGACAGUUCGGGAAGUCAUUCAUGACCGUACAAUUGAUGGUCAGCGCUUUGCAAUGGUUGAGCAAAAUGGCACAACCCUCAAACUAACUGAUACUAUAUCCAUGUUUUAUGACCUCGACAUGGAAGCAAUGUCGUGCAGUUGUGGGUUGUGGCAGAUAUCCGGAAUUCCAUGUGCGCAUGCAUGUAGGGCAAUACAACUGAACAUGGGAAAUGUUGAGGAGUACGUGGAUAAUAUGAUGUCUGUCCAGAACUAUUGUUCAACGUAUGCCCCCGGCAUGGCGCAAUUGCCUAAAGAACAUGAUUGGAAGUCGGACGCAGGUAACAUAAUACUUCCUCCGAUGAUCCAUAGUCCGAAGGCUGUUUCAGCGAAGGGCAGCAACGAGAUUGUGCCGAAUACAAGUCUGCAAAGCAUAGCAAAUUACUCACAUUCUGCCACAAAUAACCAGCAGGUGCAUAUUGUCCUUGAAGUAUAAGUGUGCUUGUAUUGCAAUACAUGUUCCCAAGUUUAAUUUAGGCACAAAAGUUGAACUACGUUCUUACUUGUUGCAGUAUACGCAACAAGAAACUGUUACUCGGUCUGUUGAACAAAGGGAUAGCAUGCAGAUGAUAUCCACGUCCAGCGAUGGUAGUAUAAGUAAGUUUUAAUUUUCUAAUUGCUGAAUAUGCAUUAUUAUUAUACAGGGAUUCAUUUAUAUCCUUGUGCUGGCUUGUUGGUCUUUCCCCAGUUUAUUUUGUUUUACAAGUAACGAUGUUGCAUGCAUGCUUGAACGUAAUGUUGUUGGCUAUUAUGUCGAUUUUUUCCACUAUGAUUGUGCACUGUAACAAUUGGGACUUCUGAGGAAUAUCUAAGUUCUCUCCAUAAGUAAUACAAUUGGAUGGAAUUACUUUGUAAGAAUAGCGUAAUUUGUUAAAAAGUAUUGUUGGUUCAUCAAUUAAUGACAAAGCCCACUUUGUUGCGGGGAUGAGCGAACAUAUUUGUAAGUUAUUUAUUUUCCCUUUCAUAGCUAUCUUAUUUAUCUUCAAGAAAAAGAGACUGAAAGCCUUGUUUUUGUGUGUGUUAUUAUGCAGGCCUGUGAUAACAAUUUGGAUCGGCUGGAUGAAAUCUACAUCGGCCUUUUGCAGUUCAACUCUUUAUGUUUCAUUAUAAUGUUUUGUUAUAUAUGUAAGAUCUAUAAAUUCCCUUUUGUUGAUCUUCGGAUGGAGGAAGCUUUUGAUUCUUUCCUCAAAUGACUGUCUCUUUGGUUUGUUAUAUAUGUAGCAUCUUUAAAUGGCCUUCCGUUUGUCUUCGGAUAGAGGAAGCUUUUGAUUCUUUCCUCAAAUGGCCUUUUGUUUGUCUUCGGAUGGAGGAAGAUUGUGAUUAUUUCGUAGAAUGACUAUCUCUUAAAUUAACUUUUGAUAUCUACCACCAUGGUCAUCCAGUUUGCUCUUACUGCAGUGUGCAUUAACAACCUAUAAACUAACUUUGUCUGUGAACUGCAUGCUUCAUCUUCGAUAUUUUUUGGUGUUAUUACUAAAUAAUGCAAUCCAUUGCUGACAAGAGGUAAUUUAUUACCUUUUUAUACGGCAAUGUUAUUAACAUCCUCCUAUGGCCUUUUACUUCAAUUACCAUUUCCGUUUAAACCAUGUAUUUAUUUAACAUUGACGUAGUAUUUUGCAUUAUACAAGUUCCCAACAUUAUAAUGUAUGCGAAAUGAAAUUAAAUAACAAGAACCCAGUAACAAGUCGCACUUGUUGUCUUGAAGUAUAAUGAGAUGGAAUCAUGUUUGAAGUCGCUAUAAGCAUUUUACCAUCUUUCAAUGUAUAAUACAGGCAGGAGCUUCUUGAAAUAGCAUUCAUCAUGACCAUAACAAAGGCCGACAAGGGCACAACUACAUAAUAUUCAAUAAUCCAACAGCCUACAAAAAUAUCACUUGAACUGUGAUUCAAAAGUUCCCAGUUGUCAGUUGUAUAAAAUAAGAAAGAGAUUCCAUGGAAUCCGUUGAGCUCUUAUGCUAUCUUUUAAACAGAAAUGAAGCUUAUCUUUUAUGUUUGCUAAUGGAAGUAGGAAAUAAUAAAUUCUGCUUGUGUCUCCUUUGGGCAACAUUUGAUUAUGGAGAUUGUCAGCAGUUUGAUGCCGGCAACUCCCGAGUGCAAUACCAUUUCUAUUCCCUACUUUUAGUAAUAUCAAGAUUUAAGCAUCUACUGGUUCUCCAUGUAUAAGUGAAAAAAAAAAAUUGAAUUAAAGUGGAAGAGGUGACCACUGAUAAUUUAUAAAAUACAUGCUGCUGCUAUAACUAAUAAAAUACCAAUUACGUGAAAAAGUCUAUUCAACAAGUAAAAUUGGUAUGUACUCUAUGGCCCAACUCCUUGAGCUCCAUUAUUUAUAAUUGGACUAAAUAACAAUCUUCACUAAAUUCAAUCUUCACGAUACCAAACAUCAUGGGAAUGCUUCUCACAGUUAGUUAAAUAGUUGCUAACGUGCAACUUCUGAAGGAAUCUUCAAGAACGUCUCCAUUCAGAUGAUGACCUGCCAGGGAAAUUACAACGAAAGUUUAAAUGAGGGCAGCUAGGAGGGAAAGAGCUCAAACAAAAUUCUUUUUUUCUUUUUUUUUCGUGGGAAGGAUUUUACUGAAAAAUAAUGCAGCAACACCAUUACAUGAUUAACUAUAAAAACUAUCUUAUUCAUCUGUUUCUCCUCUGCUCUCCAUUUUCGAGCUGGAACAAUCUCAUAAAUCUCCUUGACAGCCUGCCAACCAUUCAGAAACAAAAAAUUUUGAAAUGAGACAGCAUUCAUCUAAUCAGCAGAGGCAACGCCAUUUAUUAGAAUAAAGAAAAAUUUGCAUUCAUCGGUGAUUAAUAGCGCCAAUAACCAAUGAUGAAGAAUUUUCAAUUAAAUCGGAGGCUCCUUCCAACUGAAAUUUGUUUACAUUAAGCUUAACUAAUAUGAUUACAAACUUGAUUUCUACAUAGAUUUUAGAUAGCUCUCCGUUGAUUCUAAGGUAGCUUGCCAUUAAUUUCGGUGAAGAUUUCUUAAUAAUCUUGGGAAUCCAGAUUGUAUUUCGAGAAUUUAUCAAACUUUUUACUUUGCUAUGAAACCAUCCGAAUCUAUCUAUACAUUAAUCGAGAGGUCCCUGAAUACCAUUAACCAUUUCACAAUAAAGCUAACAAUAGGAUUAAAUAAAUUAUUGAAAUUGUUGCCAUUUCUUCUUCCAACUACUACAUGUCUUGUUGCCAGAUUUUAACAAUCCAUAAAAGAGAAACACUGUAAAUGAAUUAAGACUAUUAUGAAUAUAAUCAUAAAAACAGCUGAGAACCAUAUCAUCAUCCAAGAACAAAAUCAGAUGCCCUUUAUAAUAUGUUUACUGCUAAAUUCUUCUCAUGGGUGUUUUCCUCUGCAUGCCAUGAGAGAGGCACUCUAUUUUACAUGUUCUAAAUGCAUGCUUAAUUUAAGAACACCUGCAAACAGCCCUGUCCUUGGCUCCUUGCUACUAAUGGAGAGGGCAACACCUCACACACAAACAGUAAGAUAGACUUCGGAGACACUACAUGUUGAACAGGCAGAACUUGUCCAAACAGACUCAUGUGAUGGGAACAUUAUGAAAAAAAUGUUGAGCCAUAAGGUGACUACCUGGUAGAGCCUGACCUUCUCUUAACAGAACCCCACUGAGCAGUCCUACAAUAUAAAACAAUCAUGAACAUCAACUCAUGGCCCAUAAAGAACAUGGUCAACAUGAAAAUUUAUUCAUUUUCUGCAACAGAUAUAUAGCCUAUUAUACCAAGUAUACAAAGCAUUUCAAGGGGGUACAUUCCCAAAGCGCAUGAACAUGCUUGCUUUUAUAGCCAAGCAACUCAUUUUUUUCCUCAGCUACGUGCACCCCAUUCACAAAACUAAAUUAACAAUUCAUAACCCCAAUGUCAUCCAUAUAUAAUUGGCCACCAGCAGCAGAUAACACAAAAAACAAAACAAAAUAAAAAUAAUAACCAAGCAAGGUUAAUUGAAUCACCGAUAUGGUUACAUUUAACCAUUACAAAAAGAAAGAAAUAUGUACCUUCACAGUUGAUUGCAAGAUAAUAGCCCAAUCAUUCUACAAUAUCUUCUCCAAGGAAUUAUUUCCCUCUCGCUCGCUCCUUCAACGUAGUGCUUAUUGCAAUCAAAUUAAACAAGCAGUACUUGUUACUAAUCUCGCCUUCACUUAUUCUAACAAAUAAACACGACCGACACUCCUAAGCAAAUUACCAUUGCCAUACUGUUGCAAACAAAAAUAAACAUUUUUUUUCUUUUUAAUUACCUGCUGCCUCCGUUCCAGCGGCACAACAAUAGAUCAAGUGCACGUGAGAAAUUGACUCUGUUCUAAGGCAAAUUGAUGUGUCUAAUUGCUAAACUUCCACAACCACCCAAUAUCUUUUCCAGUUGGUUCCCGUUGUCAUGUAUCCGCCGUGAAUUUUACCUGCAUCGUUUCUGCCUUUAUCGGGAGAUACCAAAACUUUAAACUUCACAAUAGCAAUUUCUAGGGGAAAUUGAUCGUCAUUUCUGGGGGUGAAAAAGAAUUCAAUUAUCGGAUUUUCUGGGGGAGGAAACGAUUUUGAUGAUCUUAAUUCCUUAUUGGGGUGUGAAAAAUCUUUUGAUGAAGGCCUCUGGUGGACGCUUAUUUAACAUUUUUUUACCACAGUUUAAUUAUUAAAUUAUCUUUCAACAACCGGCAAUAGGCCUUUACCCAUUUUUCUUUUUCGACCGUUAGAUUCAUUCAGUUUACAUCCAACGGCAAUUUAGGAUGGAGACAAAAAGUGUGGUACCUUACCACAGUGGUAACAUAGGCGGACCCCACAUCCCCAUCAAAAACCUAGCUGAUGCUGAUGCUGAUGCUGAUGCUUCUGCAGAUUCUGAUUCCCCCUCCCUUUUAGCCAAGGAAGCAGAUGAUGACAGCAUCACAGUGCAGAAAAGAAAGAAAGAAAGAAUAUCAUUAUACUCCCACAUCUUCUUGAACGUUGUGCCCUCUACAUGCACAUAUGCAUGUACAUAUUAUUAUCAUAUUGUAGUAAGUAAUGUUUUAGCUUUCAACAUAAACAACAUUGUGAUUAAUCAUAAUGCCACAUUAUACAGUUCAAAUAUGAAAGGUUAUGAAAUUAACUUCUAUAUACAAAUGCGUUACAUAAAGUGCGCGACGUCGUUCCUUUUAAUAUAUAUUGUAAAUUAAUGAAUAAUCAUUCGUAAAAAAAAAAAAAGUAUUGUCCGUUAGUGAAUUAUAUAUACAAGCAGAGCCUCUACAAAUUAACAGGGUGGGACUAUAUAAAAUUUAUUAAUUAAAAGAGAAAUUAAAUAAUCAAUAAUUUAUUAAUUUAUUAGUUUACAGAAUUAUUUAUAAUUCAAUUAACAUACAUCAACAAUACUUCAUAAUUUCUUAUUACAAUUUGAAAAGUCAACCGCAGGACUUCUAGGUGUUAAGAAAAAUAAGAGAUUGAGGUCCAAUUAGAUUUAAAUUUUAAGAAAAGAACAGGUAACAAUAUAAUCAUACUUUAUGUAAAUAAGUGAUAAUAGAGUCAUAUUUUAUUCAAUUGAUGGCGAUUUUAUAGCAUGAUUACCUAAAUUUUGACGAAAUAAAUGAACAUUUGUUUGUACCUUGCAGGUAUGUGUCCGUUUAAUAAUAGUAGAAUGUACUUUUUUUCUUUUUUCCUUCUUACGACAAAAGGUUAAGUAGAUUUUGAGGUCCAGUCGUAAAGAGACAACUUGGGUACGUGUGUUUUUUGUAAUGUGUGCAAUUGCUGGCUUUUCCGAUGAUUUUGAUUUGGGAUUGCGUUGUAUAAUUUGCACAAUCAUCUCCUUCACCUUUGGAUUCUGUAUCUCUCUAUUUUGUGCUCUUUCUCUCUGAAUGGUAGCCACAUAUACGACUCUCUUUUCCCUGAAUACAUGAAAUAGGCAUUAGUUAUUUUACAUGAUCAUGUAAGUUACAUAAUUCUUUUAUAGUUAUUAAAUAAAAAUUUAAAAAAUAUAAAAAUAAUAUUAUUUUAUUAUUUUAUAUUUUCACAACUGUUGAAUUUUCAUCAAACGAUUAUGAAAAAAUCAUAUAUUUUAUAUGAUUACCCUUUUUUUAUGAUAACAAUCUCUCGUAAAAUAAUUGAUCACCCUUUUUUUUUAUGAAAAAUUGAUAUCCUUGCUUACACACAUGACAUAUUCUCCUUGGAAGUAAAGAAAAAAUUUCCAUUAUUCUGCAUUGUGCGUCACAGUCCUGACAGCGUUUUAGGCUCUGUAAAUAGCAAGAAAAUAACUUGUUUUCUUAUUUCCUUUUACUAAUUGACAAAAUGAUGAGAAAAAAAAAUGAAAAAUAAGGAAAAAAAAGUUUCUAUUAUAACAAGAAAAUAAAGAUUAAAGUAAAAUACCAUGAUACGUAGAAUUCUCUAAAACGAUAUCUAAAUUGAAAAGUGUAAUAAAUAAUUCGGGGAAGCUUGAAAAAUGUAACAACAAAAUUUGUGACAAAUAAGAAUAAAAAUAAAAGCUUAUUGGAUGGAGCCAAUAAAGUUUAGAAAGUUUUUAUUUCGCUUAAGUUUAUAAUUUAGAGUCACAAGCAACAAGUUCGUAAACAUCAUGAAUUUUUUUAGGAUUGCAAUAAAAAUUGUGAUUGAUAACAACAAAUUUACAAUUAAUAAUUGAUAACAGACAAUGGUUACGUGGGUAUUUUCCAAUUUACGGAGCCUCAAGGGCCAAGGUUGACCUAAUAUUGCCAUAUAAAAAUAUUUUUUUAAAAGAAAAUAAAAUAUAUGAUCUAAAAGAAUGUGUACCAUGAUAUAAUUGAUAAAAUUUUCAUUCUUUCAAGUUCUAAGAGAGUCUAAGAGAAACGUGAAAGGCUUAAAGUGCAUAAUAAUAAUAAUAAAAGGAGAAAUUUUAGAAUACUUCAGAUAUAUUACAACCACCACUUUAAUACAACCACUAUAUUACAACCAAUAUUACAACCACAUAUAUCAUGUCAUUAUUUGUUUGUUGUAUGGCUGACAUGGUACAUCAGAUAUAUUUUAAAAUUUCUCUAAUAAAAGAGACAUGUGAAAGCGAGAGCAAUAAAAAAAAUAAAAUAAAACCUCUAAAUCGGAAACUUUUAAAGAAUAGUGAUGGUUGUCGAAGCCAACAAAAAUAAAUACCUACUCUAAAUAAAUUGUGUAUAGUGAUUGAGCAGGAUCGUGUCCACAUAGAUAGGUAAUUAUUUAAAUCUUUUUAAAACGUAAAACAUAAAAUGAGGGUUUUGUUGACAAUAAUAAAAAUCAAAUUAAAAUAACAAGAAUGCAAAUUAAAGUUAUAAUUCAAAUUAGAGAAAGCUCUGGUUGAAAGAAUUAACUCAGCUUGAUUCGACUACUGAUCAUUGAUUCAAAUAUAAAUUAUUACUACUUAUGAAUAGAUCGGUUAUAGCUACUGAGACCCUCUAAUAGCCAAUCUCUCUUUAACUAGUUGAUAACCAAGGUACGACCGUUGGUUAUUUCCAUAAUCAAUAGACAACCCUAGAUACAAUCAUAGGAUUUUAUCAAUUGACAGCCUGAAAAACCAGACAGACCCAAAUCCUAAUUAACAAACGCAUACGAUGGUUCAUUUAAAUUAGAUUGUUUAUUCUCAUAACACAACUCACUGCUAUGUUAUUUGUCACAAACAUUAAAAUCUUCAUACGAUGAAUCUUUUAAUUGACAAUAGAUUAAGUUGAUAAUUAAAUAGUGGCCAGUUAUCUAAUUAACAAACAUAAUCAUGAAAAUAAUUCAGAGAAUAAACAAAUACCCAAAAAGUAAUAAAACAAUUAAAGCAUAAGAAAGAUCUCACAGUAGUGAUGAAUCCAAACUUCAUUAACCUUCAACCAGAAUAAUAGAUUUAGUUCUUUAUAGAGAGCAUAGAAAAAUUUAGAUAUAAGGUUUCUUUCUUUUCUCCAAUCCUUUUUUUUUUCACAAUAGAUUCCUCCCUUAAAUACUCUCUCUCUCUUCUCCUCUAGAGUUCUAUUUAAAAUAAAAUACUAAUAUCUUAAAUAUUAAAUUCGUAAUUACAAAAAUAACCAAAAAUACAAAACACGUUAAACUAAAAACUGCAGGUCCGUAGUUGACAGCACGCGCCCACGCCUUAUCAAUAAAGUUCUUCUGACACUCAUUAUUUCUCCAAGAGAACAAUCAUCCUUAAACAUCAUAUUGUAGCUCAAUUUUAGCACCAAUCAAUAGAAUUGCACCUACAAAAGUAAAACACAAGUAAAUCACUAUUAUUAAGUGCAAAACAUCGAUAUUAAAGGAAGCAAACAAUGCAAAACUAGUGCAUAAAUUGCACUCUAACAAAUUCCCCCACACCAAGAUGAUGCUUGUCCUCAAGCAUAUAACUCAAGACUAAUCCCAAAUCUCCGCUCAAUUCUCAUCUCAACUCAUCCAAAAACAAUUUUAAGCAAGCAUACCUCAAGAAAUUAAGUCGAUCAUCAUUCGAGAGACAAGGAUUUUAAAGCAUAGAAUCUCAUAAGAUAGAAUAAGAACAUUCAACCACCAAGAAGAUCCAUUCAAAAUUCAAGUGCAAUAAGAUUUAAUAGCCCUCUCAUUGACUUCACUCCAUUCACUCAAAGUGUUUAGGGUAUCAUUUAUGCACUCAAAUCAAAUCAAAGAAUGCUAUUACCAUAAGUUUGCUCAUAUAUCACAUCUCAAUCCACAAAACAUGAAUAAAAUGCAAAAAUCUAAGGGUUUUAAAAAGGUUGUAAUGUGGUUAAAUAGGUUAACUGAAAAAAGAAAGGUCUACGAAAGAAAAAGAUAUCAAAAUGAGAAGAAUGAACUCAUUGAAUGAACUUAUAAUAUCAAAAUGCUUAUUUCUACUUAAGUCACCAAGAAUGUAAACUUUUUUUUUUCUUUUUUCGAUUUUUUUCUUUUUUUUCUUUUUCUUUUUUUUUUUAAUCAAAAGAAAAGAAACGAACCUUGCACAAUUUAAUUCAAGCAUAAUGUUUGUUGAUCUAAUUGAGAAACUUUAAUACAAGGUAGAAAAAGCAACAAAAUAUAUACAAAAUAUAUCCGUACAAUGAGUCCAAAAAUCUCCUUAAAUUGAGGCUCAAAAAGAAGAAAAAUUGUUAAGUAGACGGAGAGAAUUAGAUGGGUAAUGGUUAAGACUCAAACAAAGAUAGCAAAUAAAAGUCUUCGGGUAGAGAAAAAAAAAAAAGCGAGAAACAAAUGUUUACAUAGAAACAAAUGGCGCGCAGUCGAUUUGUCGAUCUAGGACCACUCUCGUAUACUUGGUGAGAUUCGGCUUCACCAAAUUUGUAGCCUAUAUUUUACUUUAAUGAGAAAAUCAAGUAAUGUUUGAACAUAUAAUUUUCUUUUUUCUAUAUACUUUCUUAAAAUGUAUGGAGUGGGUAAAGUACAAAUUGAUUUUUUAGCCCUUUGACUCCUCCAAAAUUUGAACUCAAUUUAAUGUCAAUUAAAAUAAUGCUACUUGAAAAUCAUUCAACCAAAUAUCGUAAAAACUAUAAUUUUACGAAGUGAAAGUUUCACUGAUUAUUGAAUUAUAGAACAUGCUAUCAUUUCCUAGUUAGAAUUUGUUUAAUUCUAUUAAUUUACAAUCAUUCUUUAUUUUAUUCAAUUAAUUAAAGUGAAUUUGUUUUGUAUAAGUUCUAUAUAUGUAAAAUUUUAAAAUUCAGUGUUGAACUUAAUUGUACUAAACCUUUUAUAAUUUUUUAUCACACCUGCAUGUUUAACAGUCUAGUAUUAAUAUUGAUAGCACAUAAUAUAUAGGAUUAAGAGACACUGAUUUCGGGUGCCACAAGAUUUUUAGGAUUGCAUGCACAAGGGCUUACAAGAUUUUUAGGAUUGCAUGUAGGGGUGGGUGUGGUUCGGUUCGGUUCGAUUUUUAAUUAAAUUUUUCAUAAUCGUUCGAUUACAAUUAUUUUAAAAUCAUAAUCGCGAUUAAUCAAAUUACCGAAAUGAUUAAAUACUCGAUUAAUCAAAAUAAUUCGAUUCGAUUCGGUUCGAUUAUUUUAAUUAUGAGCUUAUUGGAUCUAUUUUGAGUUUUUUUAAAUUUAAAACCUUAAAUAAAUAAAUCUACCACAAACAUAAAAAAAUUAACAAACGAUUUGUUUCUUAGUUAAAAGUUUUUAAUCUUUUACUGCUUUUAUUAUUAUCCCCUUUUUCGUGAUUGUUGGUACAUGUGUCAAAUCAUAGGUGGAAGCUUCUACAAAAUAAAAAUUAACCAAAAAAUCAAUUAAGAUUAUAGUUUAAUUAAGGAUCCAUACAGAGUUAGUUAGCAGAACCAGCUGGAAAAUGUUUUUGUCUGAACCUGUUGCAGAAAAUUAAUAGUUGCUAGCGUUUUUUAUUAAUUAAUUUAGUUAUGAAUAUACAAACUUAAAAAGUCAUGAAUGAGACGUGUUUGAACUUGCUUUAGUUUUCAUCAGUAGUAAAAAUAGCACCAGUAAUUCACAGCACCAGCAUUUAGUUAUGAACUUGCUUUACGUGCUCUGGAAAAUAUCAGUCAUUUUACAAAUGAAAAAGAAAUCAAGAUCUCAUGUUUCACCAUGCUUGGGUUGGUAUCAAACAUAGCAGCACCAAAAAAUCAAACCCACUGAAGGAGAAUUACCAAAUACAAGGUCAGGAUUCCACCAUAUUGGCAAAAUUGACAUUUUGACCGUCAUUAGUAGCAUUAAUUGUCUUGUAGCGUACAGAGCCACACAAAACAUUAAGACUAAAGAAAUCAAAGAUGAAAACAAACACCAUAUCACAUCAAACAUUUUCAAACACGGCUUUAAGAUAUAAAAAUCAUGAUCAAUCUCAACAGUAUCCAGUUUGCGAUUUGGGAAAAGAAACUGAAAAAACCAAUCAUUCAAUCAUCUUUCAGCCAAAGAAACAAACCAUAUCUCACCCAAAUGGGGGAAAAGAAAAAACAAAAGAAUGAAUCAUAAAUCACAAAUCAAUUUUGGUAUACAAAUUAGUAGUCAUGGUUAUAACUAAAUGCAGCAUCUCAAGUGAACGAACCUCAACAAAUAAUGAAACGAAACACGAAACAAUCAGCAGUAGCUCAAGUUAUUGGUUUUUAUUCUCUGCAAAAACAGAACAAACCAGAGAAAUGAGAGACAAAAACAGCAGCGAUAUUUACAUAACUCAAGCACAUUAACAAAAACAUGGGAACGAGGAAAAAGAAAUGAACUUUAAACCAAAUUCAUAAAACCGAAACGAAAAAUGGAACCUUUUUCGUUCGAUUUUUUGUUCUGCUGAGAGAUUUUGUGGACAAAAACAAAAGAACCCAGAAAUGCUAAAGAGGAAGAGAGAGAAAUCAAUACGUGAUCGUAGUGUUAAAAAAAAAAAAAACCUCACAACAGUAGUCAGAUGGCAGCAGGGGAGCACCGUGACAGCAGCAACAAUUGAUAGUAGGUGACAGCGGCAAGUGACAGUGGCAGCAGCAGCAGAUGACAGCGGCUACAGCAGGUGGUAGCGGCGGCGGAGAGUCGUGAAGGACAAGCAGCAGCAGCAGCGGGGACGAGAUUCCAGCGGCUGAAGGUGCUGCGGCUUCGGUUUUCGGCUGAAGAUCAGAAGAAAUGAAGAAUGUGUUUAGUUUAGACUUGAGGGAUUGUUAUUUGACAUUCGGUUUUUUUUAUAUUCGGUUCGGGUUUUCAGUUUUUUUUAACCAAAAACCGAACCGACUGAUUUUACUACUUUUAUUAUAUUACUCAUUCAAUUUUUUGGAUAUAAAAAAACCGCAUAAAUGCUGUAGAAAACUUAAAUUUUAUAGUACUUAGUUAGGUGCAUAUAUAUAUAUCUAUAGGGCUACUAUAGCCAAAGAAACUUACAUGCUCUAGAAAACUUAAAUUUUCAUUGAUGCCACAUAACAUCAAAAGACUUUUCCCAGUAACAUUCGUAAAAGCUAAAAAUGUCUGAUUCGGUAGAGUAAACACCUCUAUGAGUGUAUUUAGGAGGAAUAUAUCAAUAUAACCUCCACAUUUGAAAAUAACCAACACUCUUUCAGUAUCUCUCUAUAUAUAUAUAAUCAGCUUCAGGUCUGGAAUUUAAAUUUGAAAAGAGUCUACAAUGUUGUAAAUUGCAUUUAUCAUUGUUUUACAAUGGUAUAAAUUUAAUUAUAAAUGACUGUCAAAAAUUUAAUAGAUGGUUAUUAUAUAUGAUUAUAAUUAGAACAUUAAAAUUCAAGUCGACUCAUUUAUCUUUACGUUGAUUUUAUUCUUUGUGGUUAUACUUAGAAUAUUAAACAAUUAAGUCGACUGAUUUAUCUUUAUGUUGACCAUUACAGGCCUCUUAAAUAUUUUAUUUACCUAUAUUUUCUUUGAUUUGUUAUUUUGAGUUGUAUGAAAUGUAGCUUUACUCCUGUUUUCUUUACUUUACUUUGGUUUUCUUUAUUGUUGAUAGGAAUUUUCUUGUUAAAACUAUAAGAAUCAUUGAAAUUUCAAAUUCAUACUACAACCAUGAUGAUUUAAUAAAACCUUCAAACUAAAUCCACAUAUUCCAUGAGUAAGAACCCUGAGAUCACAUUUGUUCAAAUUUAUGCUUUAAGUAAAAUAAAAGUAUAAAUGAGAAUUUUAAAGAAGAAAUUUAGUUAUAAAUAAUUGUAAAAUAAUUAAUUGUUCGGCCUUUAUUUUAUAGAUCCCACUGUUGGGACUCCAUGUGAUCUGCUAACUGGCAGGCCUUUUGUGGUUAGGCGAACCACGGUAUGCCUGCCUCAUAUAAGUUUCCUCUCUUCUCAUAGAUAUAACUAGUGCUAUGUCAUGUCCAACAAGGGCUCUUCGAAACUUUUUAUGUGAAUUUUAAACAUUACCCCAUUACGCUUUUGAAACACCAAAACUACCUCUCUUAAAUUUUAAAAAUAUAAAAAAAAAAUACAUAUUAAAAGAAUGUUUUAUGUCUUUAGCUUAACAGUUAGCACGCGUAUUGUACUCUUGACAUUUUUCUUCUGUAAAUCUUCACUUCUUUUUUCUUUGAUUCUUCACACUCCACUGCUCUUUUAUCUCUAAAAAAUUAAAUUGUCCGUAGAAGCUUACUAUUUAAUUUACUGAUCUAAUUAUUUAGCUCUAAAUAUUUAGAUAUGUUUUCUUAAUUAAUUAUCACUUCUUUAAUUUAUUUGGUGAUUUCUCUUAGAUGAAAGAUUUAAGGUUAUGUCCUAGGAAAAUAUUAAUUCUCAUAUUAUAGUGUUGAUAAUGAGGUUAUCCUUGAAUUUUUAACACAUGAAAAGAUAUCGAGGUACCUAUAAAUUCAUUGAAGGAAAUAUUUUAAUAAAUUUAGAUUUUGGUACAUAUUAUUUGUUGAAUUUUUUUUCUUUCCAAAUUGAAAGGAACCCUUAUGAUAUUCAAUUCGUGAUAGUGCCACUAAAUGUGAAGUGUCGAACUAGAUCAUAUUUCUCCCUUAUGCAAACUCCAUCGUUUAUUUAUAUUUCAAUUUUGUGGCCUAUUUUCGAGUUUUCUAGUUUCACAGAGGGCAUCUUGGAUUUCUCUACGCGGUCUAUAGUCUCUAGUCCAAAUGAAGAAAUCGAAUUCACCAUGUACAUUAGUUUUUUUUUUUUUUUGCCCCGGGGGGGGGGGGGGGUGGGGGUGGUGGAAUUUUUUUAUUGGCACAGGAAGAAAGCUCUUCGGCACUACUCGGACGAAGAAUAUGAGCAACACAUGGUCCAAUUCGCAUUGUAUGGAAGUAAAACCGAAGCAUUAGACCAAAAGCAAACCUUAUUCAUAUUUUUAGUUACUGAUAACAAUUUUUUUCCCCUCUUAUUUAUCAUCUUAAUUAAGAAAUAUAGUAAUUCGCUAACUUUUUGGGAAAUUAAAAAGGAUGGCAAUAUACAAUAUUCUUGUGUUGAUGACCUUAAAAGCUAAUCCCCUUGAAACAGGAAAACUGGUAUCGUUUUUCAAAGCACAUAAAUGAUAUAUCCCAGCUUUCAAUGUGAUCGAAAGAUUUCAUAGCCACACUCAAAAUUAAUAAAUGAUCCCUAAGAAUUACGAAAAUGAUAUCAAUGAAAUUACAAACUCUUCAAGAGUUUAUAGAACAUUAAUUGAUCCAAAUCCAAUACAAACUGCUUACUAGUACAGCUUCAAGAGAGCCAUUUAUUUUUUCAGUAGGCAAAUUAAACAACUGCAGCAGUCACUAGCGAGCUAGUAUAGACCAAUUGUUCAUCUACCAACCAAUUGUGAAAUUGUUACAUCAUUACUUGAACAAAUUUCCAAUCCAAUCGUGGCUUUCCUUUGUUCAUCUUCGUAAGCUUGCUUUGAGAAAGUUGCAGGCUUCUUUGGAGUCACUAUAUCAGCCGUGCUCUCAUUUUCGAGCAUCGAAGAAACUUCCAGCAUAGAAGGUCUAUCGUCUGGGUUCUCCUGAACACACAACAGAGCUAUUUGCAGACAUGUUAGCAAUUUCCACGAGGAAUGCGUAUCAUCUAGUGAUGUAUCCAUUAACCCCAUGCCUUUCCCAUCUUUCCACAGCUCAUAAGCCUGUAAAUAUCGAAUAUUUUAUUGAGUUACAUUCAAUUAAUUAGCACUAUAAAGUUUUGAUCCAGUGUGCAUUAUAAAGGGGGUUAUGAAGAAACUUACAUACUGUACAAGGCUUAAAUUUUCAUUCUGACCAGAUUGAACGAACAAUCUUCUUCCACUUAUAAUUUGCAAAAGUAAAACCCCAAAACUGUAGACAUCAGAUUUGGUGGAGUAGAUGCCUCUCGUCACAUACUCAGGAGGGAUAUAGCCACUGUUGUACCAAGUAAUUACAAAUAUCAGUGAAAUUGUUUGACCUAAAAGGUUAAGCUGAUUGGUAAAGGCUCAAUAAUAGUAUUAAAGACAAGCCGAAAAAUAGACGUAUGUACACUUACUGUGUUCCAACAAUUCGACUAGUGUUUGCUUCAAGGUCGUCUUUCACAAAAAUUCUAGCUAAGCCAAAAUCUGAUAUUUUAGGCUUCAUAUUUUCAUCCAAUAAAACAUUACUAGCUUUCAAGUCUCGAUGAAUAAUUGUUAAUCUAGAAUAUUCUUGAAGAUAAAGAAGCCCUUGAGUUAUUCCUUGAAUGAUAUGAAUGCGUUUUUUCCAAUCCAAAAUAAACCUUCGGAUGGGAUCUACAUCAAAUAUAAGUAUAGUUGGACGGUCAGUAGCACUAGCAUUUGGAGAUGAGAAAUCAAAUGGAGGCACAUAAAUUAAGAAUUAAGCAGAAGCACAUACCAAAAAGGAAAUAGUCCAAGCUUCGUUUUGGCAUGUACUCGUAGAUCAGCAUUUGUUCUUCUCUGUCAAUGCAAAAACCUAAAACCCUAAUAAGAUUUACAUGUUGGAGUUUUGCAGUAAGCAUAACCUCAUUUUUGAACUCCUCAAAUCCUUGUUUGGAUGUCUUUGAGAGUUUCUUUACUGCUAUUACCUGUCCAUCAGGCAAUACACCCUGCAAACACCCCCAAAACAUUAAAGAGGAAAAAAAAAUGCAAUGUUCAUAUACAUAUGUGUGUGUGUAUUUCGCUAAUUAGUUAAUAAGAUGAGAGAUAGCCAAGCUAUCGAUAUAUAACCUUGUAAACAGGGCCAUAUCCACCCUCCCCGAGCUUAUUUUCAAUUGAAAAUCUAUCCGUGGCCACCUCAAUAUCAGCCAAGCUAUAUUCUCUAAGAUCAGGAUCAUUGCUGUUAAAAUCUCCAGCAUGUGCUUGACUGUUUGCUCCGUCCUUUGAUGACUUGGCUGAGUCAAUUACUAUCCCAAUUAAUAUCAACCAAGGAAAAAAAAAAAAGAAAAAAGCUAAUUUAAGUAAAUUGCCCACUUCUUCAACUGCGCUAAAUAGAAUAGAAGUAAAAAUAAUCCUAAACCCGUGUAGAAAAAGUUACCUUUUAAUUUGAGGUUUUUCAUCCAGCAGUAGUAAUAUAGCCAAAAACCUAGUAGAAGAAUACAAGCUGCAGUUGUAGGCAAAACAACUACCCAUAAUAGUCGCUUAUUUUGACCAUUCUUGUCAUCCUCUUCAGCUGAAAAGUCAAAUCACUUUGCGUUGGUUAACCAUUGAUGCUGAAUAAAGAUCUUAAUUCAAGUCAUUAUCCAGAAAAGUGGUCAAACGGAUUGCAGUGAGUGCGGAAUUCUAUUUGCUUACCUGCAGCUUGAGAAAGCAUCCAAUCAUGAUCAUAGGCAACUUUCCACACAAAGUAACCACGUAACUUCUUCUCCUUAGCAUAUGCAACCUUCAUUCUAACGGCCUCGACAUCAUCAAAACCAAACCAAAUCUUCCCAAUCGAGCAGUAAUUCAUCACAUAAGUUGAAUUGUACAUAACUGGAACAUUAGGACCAUAGCUCUUGAUGUAAUUCUUGAUUUCCUUAUAAGUCACAAAGCCGAUAUCACUCAAAGCUGGUCCUGUUGCUGCUGCACCAAUACCAUUGUCCUCAGGUUUCACAAGCGUCCAUGCAUAGCCAUAGCAAGGCAAACCCAAAACCAACUUGUCAGCCGAUAAUCCUUCAUCGGUCCAUGCCGUGAUUCCGUAUUCAGUAUUAAAGACACUAUUUGGAUCAUACAGAGCCGCAGGAGCACUAGUAUGAUUUGUCCACAUAGGGCGUGAGUAUUCAGCAGUGAUAACAUGAACCCAAUUCAAGUAUUGUCUUAUCGAGUCGAUUGAAUAAGCUCCUAUUGUUGAGUAUGGUGAAUAAGCGACCCUUGCCGUCAAAAUCAACUGUGAUUGGCUCGAGUUAUUUCUUGCUUCUAAAGCUACGGCAGCUCGCCACUCUUUAAAGAGAAUACCAAUAUUGUAAUUAUCCCAACUUGUGUUUGCCCAAGACCAUGAUAAAUCUAAACCUUGAAAGCCAUAAAGUCUUGCUAUUUUUAUUGAGGAGUCAAUGAAGGAUUUCCUGGAAGAAGGAUUGCUGGCCAUGGAAGAAUAAGUUGAAUAGUUUGGAUUCUUUCCUCCUCCGAUGGAAAGAAGUGUAGUGAUUGAUGGGUUCUUUUUUUUUACAGCGUCUGUGAAGUUGGAGAAUUGUUUUUCAUCAGAAGGUGAGAAAGAGAGCUCGUAGGAAGUUGAGUUGACAUCAGCAAAACCACACAUAAGGUGAGUGAAGAGAGCAGAAUUUACAUCUGAAAUGAAGAACUCAUCGCCUGAAUCCCAGUAACCAGCUCUGAUUAAAGUUUGUGCUCUUGUAGGAAGCGAUUCUGAAAAUAUAAAAAUGUGGAGGACAAGAAUGAUAAUUUUGGAUGCCAUUGUGGGAACCUGGCUGCUGGAGGCAUACCUAGUAUGUCAUUAUAUAUGUAAUAUCCUAGGCAAAUCCCACAUCGGCAAAAUAUGGGUGAGAUGAUGGGUUUAUAAGGGGUGAUUCACACUUUAAUUGGCAAGACGCGUUUUGGGGGGUAUGGGCACCCAGAAACAAAACCGUAAAGCGGAUAAUAUCCUGUCAUGUUUGGGUUGGAUCAUGACACUAUGGUAUCAGAGCGGCUCCGCAUGUCCUCUUGAGCGAUGGUGGGGCAAACCUCAGCGAAUCAGAGCGGCUCCACGUGUCCUCUUGAGCGAUGGUGGGACAAACGUCCUCGCUCGUUGAGUCCCCAAGGGGGGUGAAUGUAACACCCUAGACAAAUCCCACAUCGGCAAAACACGGGAGAGAUGCUGGGUUUAUAAAGAGUGACUACACUUUAAUUGGCAAGACACGUUUUGGGGUGUAUGGAUGCCCCAGAAACAAACCUGUGCGGACCUUCUAAAGGCCCAAAGCGGAAGACACGUUUUGGAAUGUAUGGGCGCCCCAGAAACAAACCUGUGCGGGCCUUAAGAAGGCCCAAAGCGGAAGACACAUUUUAGGGUGUAUGGGCCCCCCAAAAACAAACUUGUACAUGCCUUCUUAAGGUGCAAAGCGGACAAUAUCUUACUAGGUUUAGGUUAGGUCAUGACAUUAUUACAUUAUGGUAUCAAAGCGGCUCUGCAUGUCCUCUUGAGCGAUGGUGAGGCAAACCUCAGCGAGGAAGCUGAGUCCCUAAGGGGGUGUAUGUAACACCCUAGGCAAAUCCCACAGGGGGUGUAUGUAACACAUUAGGCAAAUCCCACAUCGACAAAGCACGGGAGAGAUGUUAGGUUUAUAAGGAGUGAUCCACACCUUAAUUGGCAAGACAUGUUUUGAGGUGUAUGAGCGCCUCAGGAACAAAACCGUGCGGGUCUUAUUAAGGCUCAAAACGGACAAUAUCUUGUCCAGUCUGAGUUGAGUCAUGACAAUAAAUAUGUACACACACAAAAUAUAAUGAAGAAAUUAUCUUAUACCGAUUGAGAUUAGUUAUUGCACUAAUAAUACAAACUUGAGUCAACUUUCAACUUAUGAGCUUAGUCCAUAAGUUUUUAUACGAUAUCAAAAUCAAGUUACGGAUGAGGGACCCUAUAAUACCUUCCAACCUAACUUAAUAAUUAAUCUUAGCCAAUGUGACAUACUUUUUCUAUCACUUUAUCACGUCCAAGUUGAUCUUUUAGCUUUGUCUUUUUUUCAUGAUAAUAAGUGAUAAGAUUGAAGUUCUUAAAUUAAGCUAUGACUUUUUACCUCCGCUUAGCUUGACUUCUGAAGUUGGAGACUCGUUCUUUUGUAUUGAGUUUGUUGGUAUUUAAAUGAACUCGGAGUCUUCCACGUGUUUCUGAAGCAAAGUCAUUAUUCCUCUAUGACUCCAUCCAUGCAGUUGGAAGGCAAAAUCUUGUGAAAAUAUUUUCUAAGUUGAUUCAGUCCAUGAUCAAUGUGCACAAAACGCAAAAUCUUGCGAAAAUCAAACCCGUCCUCACUUAUGAGCUCGAUUUCUAGCUUAAACUCCUCCUUACUCAUGACAUACUAUAUAAAAUAUCGAGUUGAACUCACUUUAUUAAAUUACAGCUUGUUAUUGAAUUGAGUGUUGCCUUAAUUAAGCUAUCAACUUAAUAAAGUGAUUGUCAUUAAGAAAUACACUUAGGUAUCGUUUACUUUUUGGAUUGGAGUGGGAAUUCUGAUAAAUGUGAAUCCUAGGAUUAGGAGUGUGGAGUGGGAGUGGGAGUAAGUUGUUUACUUACACUGGAAUGAAAGUAUGGAAUGAAGAUUAGAAUCCAAUUUAUGUGUUUACUUUGUCUUGGAUUGGGAGUAAAUAGUUUCAAAUUACAAUUUUAUCCUUAUUUAAAGAAUUAUAGUUUUUAAUUACAAAGUUAAUAAAAAAUAUAUUUAAUGAAUAAACAUUUAUUUUAUUAUAUUUGUAAAUUUAUAAUAAUUAUUAAUAUUCUUAAUUAUGUACAUCACAUUUUUUUAUAAUUUUAAUUAUAUAAAUUAAAAAUUAUUGAUAAGGGCAAUAUAAAUUAAACAUUUUUACUAUUAACAUAGUACGCAAUUAAUAUUUUCUUAGAAUAAACUAUUUAUUAGUAUUAAUUAUUAAUAUUAAAUAAAUAUAAUACUAUUAUGUUUAAAUAAAUAUAAUCAUAUUAUAUUUUCAAAUAAAGAUGGUAUAUAGUAAUAUUAUUAAUUCUCUAUCUAUAUAAUAAUAUUAUUUUUAAGUAAUUUAAACUUAAAAUCAAACCAAAUUAUUAUUUAGUUAAAUAUAAUAUUAUUAUUUAAAUAUAAUUAGAGUAAAUUUAAUAAAAGGAGGGUAAAAAAGAAGGGUAAAUAUAAAAUGAAACAUUAUUUUAUUUUAUUUUAUUAUAGUAAAUUUAAAUAUUAUUAUAUUAAAUUUAUUAUUAUAUAAAACAAUAAUAUAAUAUUAUUUAGUACAAAAUUAAUAUUUUAUUAGAAUAUAAAUGAAGAUAGCAUAUAAUAAUAUUUAUUAAUUCUCUAUUAAUAUAAUAAUAUUAUUUUUAAGUAAUUUUAACUUAGAAUUAAUGCAAAUUAUUAUUUAGUUAAAUAUAAUAAUAUUAUUCAAAUAAAUAUAAUAUUAUUUAUUUUAUUAAAUAUUAAAUAUUAAAUUAAAUAAGAAAAAGGGUAGAAAAGGGAGAGGUGGGAGUGGAUUCCCACUCCCACUCCCCACUCCAAAAAUGGGUGAGGUCCACCAAGUGAAAUUCUCAAUCCUUUCUCAAAUUAUUGAAGUAAAUACUGGAGUGGGAGGAAUCCACACUCCUCACUCCUACUCCAGAAAGUAAACACAGCCUUAGUUACUUCCUGAUGGUAAGAUUCAAUAAUAUUGUAAUUUUUAUAAAAAAAAAUUAAGACUCAUAUACCUUUUCCUUGUGUAAUUUAAUUUCCAGUCAAGUCCACCCUCCCGUUUUAUUAUAAAAGUCUAUACGAACAUACGUUUUACUCAAUGUUUACUUAGAAACAAAUGGCGCGCGUACGAUUGCCGAUCUAGUACCACUCUCGUAUACUUGGUGGGAUUCGGUUUCACCAAAUUUGUAGCAUAUAUUUUACUUUAAUGAGAAAAUCAAAUAAUGAUUGAACAAAUAAAUUUUCUUUUCUAUAUACUUUCUUAAAAUGUAUGGAGUUGGUAAAGUGCAAAUUCAUUUUUUAGCCCUUUGACUCCUCCAAAAUCCAAACUCAAAUUAAUGGUCAGUUAAAUAAUGUUACUUGAAAAUCAUUCGGCCAAAUAUUUAAAAACUAUCAUUUCACAAAGUCAAAGUUUCACUGGUUAUUGAAUUAUAGAAUGUGCUAUCAUUUCCUAGCUAGAAUUUGUUUAAUUCUAUUAAUUUACAAUCGUUUUUCAUUUUACUUAAUUAAUUAAAGUGAAUUUAUUAUGUAUACAUUCUACGUACGUAAAAUUUUAAAAUUCAGUGUUGAAUUGAAUUGUACUAAAUUUUUUUAUAAUUUUUUGUCGGACCUACGUUUUUAACAGUUUAAUAUUAAUAUUGAUAGCACAUAAUAAACAGGAUUAAGAGAGAUUGAUUUCGAGUGCUACAAGAAUUUUAGGAUCGCAUGCACAAGGGUUUAAAAACAAAGUGUGCACUUAAUAAAAACUGUGUACAUGGUUCUAAAAGUGGCUCCAUAAUUAGUGUACAUUAACAUUCAUCUAGCUACCACUUCCGAAAAUGAUAAAUCACAAGCCGAACAUUUUUCCAAUUGUGUUGUAGAUAAUAGUUCAAUCCCAAUUUCAUCAACUUGUUUUGAGAAAGCAGGCUUCUUGGGAGUAUUUGUAUUUGUGGUUUCAUUCUUGAGCAUUGAGGAAACUUGUAACAUUGAAGGUCUAUCGUUUGGAUUCUCCUGGACACACAACAAAGCUAUUUCCAGACAUCUCAUUAAUUUACAAGGGGAAUUUGUAUCAUCUAGUGAUGAAUCCACAAACUCCACGCCUUUGCCACCUUUCCACAACUCAUAUGCCUGAAAUUAUCAAGUACCAUUUUGUUACAUAAUUUAUACUUCUUAAUUAAGUGCGCAUAUGUGUACUCAGGGUUACUAUAGCCGAAGAAACUUACGUGCUCUAGAAUGCUUAAAUUUUCAUUGAUGCCACAUAACAUUGAAAGCCUCUUUCCACUUAUAAUUUGUAGAAGUAAAACUCCGAAACUAAAAACGUCUGAUUUGGUAGAGUAUACACCUUGUCUGGCGUACUCAGGAGGAAUAUAGCCGCUGCAUUCAAAAUAACCAACAAUAAGUAAGUAUAUAUAAAUAAGGGAUUUCACAAUUUAAUAAAUUUGUAAAACCCAUUUUAAAUUGUGGUAAAAGUCCAUUAUGCAUUUUAUUAAAGAGCUGAAUUCUUUAUUCGAAACCUAUAUUUAUAUAUAUAUAUAUAUAUAUAUAUGCACACACAUGUAUAUACACAUAGGCAUAUCAAGUAAACACAUCAUAUAUGUAUUAAAAUUCUGUGUUAGCUUGGUCCUCAUAUACAUACAAACGUAUAUAACAAACAGAAGCUUGAGUAAAGGAUAUCAUUUAGAUGUAAUAUACUUACAUUGUUCCCACAACUUGUUCUGUAUUCGCUUCGAGACUCUCUUUUGCAAAAAUCCUAGCCAAACCAAAAUCUGAAAUUUUAGGUUUCAUAUCUUCGCCUAACAAAAUAUUACUGGCUUUUAAGUCUCGAUGAAUAAUAGUCAGUCUUGAAUAUUCCUGGAGGUAUAAAAGCCCUUGAGUUAUCCCUUCAAUGAUAUGAACACGUUUUUUCCAAUCCAAAAUAAGUCUUCGGAUGGGAUCUACAACAAAUAUAUAGUUUUGGACAAUAAGUGAUAUGCAAAUGAAUUUUAUACACGAUUAAUAUUAACUUGAUUUCAGAACAAACCAAAAAGGUAGCAAUCCAAGCUUUUGUUUGGCAUGUACUCGUAAACUAGCAUCCGUUCCUCACUGUCAAUGCAAAAACCUAAAACUCUGAUAAGAUUUACAUGU